rnacentral:lncRNA from 1 species
CCUCCCCAAAUUAGCUCAAAGCUGGGGAGAACAAAAAUACAAGAAAAAUGAGAAACAGAGCUGUAGUCGGUUGGGGUACUUCCAAGUUGCAACAGCUACCUAAAGAAAUCUGAAUUGCUUCUGGUUACCAUAGUGAUAUGAUUAUAUUCCAAAAACAGUAAAGGCAAUCGUAAAGAGGAACUACACUUAGACAAUUAACAAAAGAUACAAAACAGAACCGCCUCCAAACAGAUCUAUAUCAGAUACCAAUAGAUUGUAUGCAGAUUACUGAUAAGAACACAAUCACAAGGUUCACCGACCAUGUCUUUAAAUGAUAAAUAAGCAACAAAACACUAGUCUUCAUGCAUUAGAAGAUCCAACAUACUAAGAGAACAUUUCAACUUUUGUGCUUCUGCCCAACAAAAAUACCAGCAUCCACCACAGCCCAAUCACAUGAACAGGUUCGGCCUCGUCGCCUUGUAGGUGGUCUUCAGCUUCCUGGUUGGUGGCCUGACCUUUUGGUACACAAGGGGGAACUUGAUCUUGGAGUUGUGGAACUGCUUGGUGUUGUCUCUCUUGCAUAGCUUGAAGUUGACAGUCGCGGUCUUGAUGAUCUGAAUGCAGGGGGAUCUCACACGGUGGCGAGAGGCCAUCUCAGUGUACAUCUGCUCCACGGCACCAUUCAGUGUGGUGUCACGGUACUCCUUGUACAUGUUGUGGUAGCCGGUUCUGCUCUGGUAACGCAGCCAAAUGCCAUAGUUCUUGAUCGUGGUUGGGUUCUUCUCAAAGAUCUGACAAAAAAGGAGUAUUUCAGUGCAAAAAUAACAAUCACAUGCCAUAAUUGGGUAAAAAGAAUCAGUGGAAAAAUCAGGUUCCAAUUGGUUCCCAAACCAAGAAACUAUGGAUUAACACCAGCCGACCACAACAUACACGUCACACAAUUAGAAAAAGGAAAAUCAUAAAUCAGAAAGUAUACGUGCCCGCAUAAUCAAGAAAUCUAGAGACAACUCAUAUGGGUCGGUCCAAGUCCUUGUUGUGAAUACAAAUUAGAUUAUGCAAAACAGAACCUUCGCACAUCAGAAUGAAGUAUCAGAAGUAAUUGAUGCAUAGAUAAUGUAAAUACAACUACUACAGGUACAUGUUUUCGCAAGAAAAUCACAUACAUCAUGAUCACAACAAGAUGGAAGGGGCAUCACUGCAUAUUCAAACACAACUAGAAUGAUUUUAUGUUGCAUUCCGGUUAAUUAACGCCACAGAUAGUACAGAUAAAACUACCGAUGCAGUUGUAAGAGUGGAUGGAUAAAAGGAGCUAAUUAAGCCGCUCUCGGUUGGUAAUUGUAAUGUACAGGAAAGAACCAGAAGGUGGAACAUAAUCCAAGCUCAUGGCAAAACAUAAAUCGAGAAAGGCCCAAUACCUCGUUGAUGGCGAGCAUCUGGCCGUUGCUCUUCUUCACCUUCUUCAGCUUCCUCAGGAAAUACCUGCACAGACGCGACAACAGCCAUAAGGAAUACCGAAUCGAAGACGAACAGAUCCUUCAGAUGUCCCGAGGAGACGGGGAGGAGCUCACCAGAACUUGCUCUUGGCGCGCACCUCAUUGGUGGCCCAGAGCUUCAUGCGGUAGAUCUUAGGCUGCUCAUCGCCGGGCGUCGGCAGCGCGCGACCCACCACCUGGUACUGAUGGAACUGCACACGCACGGACGCAUCGAGACGAAUCAAAAACACGGAUAAAGCGCGGACACGGAGGGGUCAAGGAUAGCAACGGCCGGGAGGCAGCACUGGAACUUACCCUGAAGGCCACCAUUUCCGCGAGCUCUGCGAAGCCCCUAGCCUAACCUAACCUAAGCAGAUGGGGAGGGCAGGAGGCGGCGGGCGAAGGAGGCGUCCGUGAGAGGGAGAGAAGCGUUUAUAGGUGGCGAGCUUGGCUGUAAACCCUAAUGGGCUUUCUCCGUGUCGUGGGCCUAUUCUUAUAGCUUGUGGGCCUAUUGUUGCGCUCUUUAUCAUAGAGGUCCGGGAUCGAAAGUGCCUUUCUGCUCCCGAGCUCAUUUGAGCUCGGUGAACAGUAAAAUCAAAAAAAAUCAAAAAAAAUAAAAAAUUCCAAUUUUUUUUGGGAGAAACAUUGACAAAAGUUCUAAGUGCUUGCAAAAAUUCAUCAUGAAAUCACAUUCCUGUAAAGCGUGGCAAAAAAAAACAAAUUCAAUGCUCCAAAAUGCUUUUGAAAGUAGCUUUUUCAGAGUACUGAUUUUGUUUUUUGCCACGCCUUCUAGAAAUGUGAUUUCAUGGCGAAUUUUUGCAAGCACUUAGAACUUUUGUCAAUGUUUCUCCCAAAAAAAUUUGGAUUUUUUUAAAUUUUUUUUGAUUUAGUUUUGAUUUUACUGUUCACCCGAGCUCAUUUGAGCUCGGGUGCAGAAACUCCGCGUCCGUCCGGGAUGUGCUUUUCGUCCAAAAAACUAAUUGAAAGUACCCUAAAAAAACUAAUUGAGGGUACUCCUUCUAAAAAUCACUUCCACCUCCUCAGGUUGCGACAAGUGGCGUGACUUGUUGCAACAUGUGAGUUUUUCCUUUCUUUCUAAAUUCGUUUAUCCAAAAUGUUUUAUCUCUUAAAUCAUGCUCAAAUCUCAACCCGUUUUCAUCGUUGAAUUCCUCGCGUCAAGAUCUCAAAACUAGAUCCCAUGUUAAUAGGUUUUGACCAAAAAAUCAUGAAAAAAACGAACAAAAAACUAGAAAAAACGAACCAAGAGCACUUUUUUCCCUUUCCGGAAGAGGCACGACCGCGCCUCUUGUGGAAGCAAAUCUGUGUCUCUCGCGAAAGCAAACCUGUGCCUCUCGCGGAAGCAAAUAUGUGCCUCUCGCGAAAAAAAGAAGACGCGGUUUUCGUUUUUGUGAGGCACGGUCAUGUCUCUUGCGGAAAGAAAAAAAUAAAACGCAUUUUUUUCCGUUCCAAGAGGCACGGCCGUGCCUCUCUCAGAAGCAAAUCCAUACUUCUCGUGCAAGAAAAAAAAAGAAAACAUGUAUCUUUUCCGUUUCCAAGAGAUACGACGGUGCCUCUCGCAAAAGCAGAGUCGUGCCUCCUGAGGAAGCAAAUCUGUUGGGGAUAUAACUAUUAGGUAUGACCCGCCCAGGAGGGGCCGGGUUAUACCUAUGACAAUUCAAGAUAUGAAGCCCAAGACGACAAUUGAAGAUGGUGGUUUAGUUAAGGGCCCAAAGCUCAAAGGCGACUCAAGGCCCGUAGAGAUAAACCGUCAUAUGUAUGUAAGUUGUAUUGUAAGGCAGGAAUAGACAGAGAUAGAGCCGGACACUGUUUAUGAGCCUGUCGGGACUCGGAGAGCCGCUGGGCGUCGACCUCUGUAUAUAAAGGGACGACCCGGCGGCGGUUCAGCGCAAGUAACAUCAGAUCGAGAACUAGGUCAAGCGGAUUCGCUCCCUGGUAAUCGAGACAUAAGUAAUCCCACCUCAAACUGGAUUAAGCCAUUACCUUCACCGCAAGGGGCCAAACCAGUACAAACUCCGUGUCCUUUGUCUCGUUUUAACCCCUUUAAAGCUUCCUAGUUGCGAUGGCUCCACGACUAAGUCCUUUCACUAGGACAUCUGUCGUCACAAUUCCACGACAGUUGGCGCCCAUCGUGGGGGCAGCGCACGGUGGAUUUGAGUUCUUGAAGGGCAGCUUCGAAGGGCUCAAGGAAUACGAUGUGGGCCAGAUGACCAAGAGUCGUCGCGGCAAGCUCUACACCGACGAUGCAGGCUGGGGCCCCGACGCCGGCUCAAUUGAGUACGGGUACCGGGUCCCCUUCGGUGGAAUCCACGUCUUCAUCGGCAAGAUUGGCGGGCUGGGCCCUGAACCGGACGUCUGCACCGACAUCAUCGAGACGGCUCAGCGUGCGAGACUCGCCCGAGCUCAGCCCGCCGUGAAGCGUGCCUUCGUGGGAUGCAUCCAUGGAGGGGAAUUUUCUGAAGGAUCUGUGUCCGGCGGUGAGACGGCCAUCUACUCUGAUGGUGAGUCAUCCACGGGUGAGACGGAUUCGUUGUAUCAAUGGCAAGAUGGCGGGCUUGGGGGUUGUUCCGAUGGCAGCAGUAUUCCGGACCCCUUUGAGCCGCCGAGAAGAGUUGGGAUCUUCAUGGCUGGCACACAACCCGGGCAAAACUCUACGGCUGCAGCGGCGAUGACCUCCGGGUCAGCAGCGGUGGCGGCAGGUGGGGCAGGAGGCCCUGCACGCCCACCGGCUCAGGUUCUGAUGGCUUUGAUGGAUAAGAUGACAGCUCUGUUAACCGCCAUGGUCAAUCCGACGGAUCAAGCUCAACAUGAUGCAGAAGUGGCACAGCUACGUGAGGAGGUAGCACAAGCCAAGGAAAACUUGCCAGCAGAGGACAUCAGGAUGGCCGCAGAGCGGGCGGCUUUGGAUGCUCGGGCCCAGCAGAUUCAAUCAGAGGCUCUUCAGCUUAUGAUGGAUCUGAACGCAUCAAAUGAGGUCAUGAGGAGAAGGCACCAGAAGGCUCAAUCCCGUCUGCCUCCAGUUUAUGAUCCUAGAAACCUCUUUCGCACACUCGGCGUAGGGCCCAGUAACCCGCCAGAGGUAAACCGGGUUGCAACGCCCGGGGCUAGGACGCCGGUUCAGCCACGUGUGACAGAACCCCCUCAUCUGAAUACUACUCCACCUCACUAUGUACCAACACCACCGGGUCAUUACUCUAACCCUCUAGAGAACAUGAUCGCUGCGGCGACACGAUUGGCGACUCUCCCGAUGGAUGGUGACUCUCCGACGGUAGUUGAAACACAAAGGGUCAGAGAACUUCUUCAGACAGAUUUGGCGCAGCAGGAGGCAUACUCUUAUAGUCGAGAUAGGAUUCAUUCGACCCCUCGCCCAAGCCGGAGCCUGAGCUAUAGCAGACACAUGGAUUCAGCAGUCAUUUCAAGCAACACCCGGCGCCGUGACCAGCCGCACGGGCAUGACCCGGUGCGUGAUGGAGUUCCUAACUUGGUUGAUCAGGACAGGAUACAUCAAGAGGCUGAGCGGGCGGUUCAGCAGGCGGCUCAGUGGGCGGCUUACCAGUCUUUUCCGGUUUAUCCGACGACUUCAAUUGAGGCAAGCAUGACCACUAGGACUGGAGGUGUGCCCUGUUUGGUGCCGCCUCUGCAUAAUGAGCAUUUGCCCAAAGAUUUCAAAGGACCUCGAAAGGUGCCUAAUUACACGGUUGACUUACAACCGGGGGCAUGGAUCGAAAGCUACGAGAUGGCCAUGGAACUUCUGGAAGGCAGCGACCCUACAAUGGCCAAGUAUUUCACCAUGAUGCUGGAUGGGACAACCCGUACUUGGUUGAAGGGGCUCCCACCUAACUCCAUCGGUUCAUGGGCAGAAUUGAAGACCCGGUUCAUUCAGAACUUUAAGGAUACAUACAAGGAGCCCAUGUCGAUUGUGGACUUGACUAAUUGCAAGCAAGAGGAGGGUGAAUCCACGACCCGUUGGGUGCGUUGGGUCAAGGCCAUAAUACAUUCAUCUCAUAAGAUGGAGGCCGGCUCUGCAGUCUUAAUGUUGGAGAAAAAUUGUCGUUUUGAGCCUCUGAAAAGAAGCUGGGGUGGCUCAAGGGUGACUGUAAUGACAUGGGCCAGUUGAUGGCGGCUCUAGUCAAAUAUGCCGACUCUGAUAGUACCAAGGAUCUCGAGUCUGACGAAGAGAAGGAAGGGAAGGGAAAGAAGAGCGGCAACGCCAAAGGUCCUCAGCAUAACCCGGCAAAUCAAGGAGGCAAUAAUAAAUGUAAGGCUGGCGGUAGCUCAGAGUUUGUGGCUAACACCAAUGCACAGGGCAACAAUCAACGACGUGAGGGGAGACCACCUUCUCGGUCCGACGGGUCAGGUCCCACUCUUGAGCAGUUGCUAAAUGAACCCUGUCCAAGGCAUGGUACUCAGCAGAAGCCGGCCACUUACCUGUGGAAGGAUUGUGCGAUCAUGAAGGCUUUCAAGAAUUCUAACAUGUUUGACGACAAUCAUGGAUCGGGCGGCGGCUCAGGCGGCGGCGGGUUUCAUGGCCAGGGUGGUGGUUCUAAUUCCAAUUUUCAAGGCCCUCAAGGUAACCAGGGCGGUUAUAAUCAGCAAUCUAGCCAGGGAGGUCAGCAACAGUAGUCUGGAUAUCAGAGUAAUCCAAAGCAGCUAAAUAGUGGACAAUAUCAUGUGUUUACCACCAGCUUGUGCAAAUGGGACCAGAAACUUCAUAAGAGGGUUGUGAAUACUACUCCACCUCACUAUGUACCAACACCACCGGGUCAUUACUCUAACCCUCUGGAGAACAUGAUCGCUACAGUGACACGAUUGGCGGCUCUCCCGGUGGAUGGCGACUCUCCGACGAUAGUUGAAACACGAAGGGUCAGAGAACUUCUUCAGACGGCUUUGGCGCAGCAGGAGGCAUACUCUUAUAGUCGAGAUAGGAUUCAUUCGACCCCUCACCCAAGCCGGAGCCCCGAGCUAUAGCACACACAUGGAUUCAUCAGUCGUUUCAAGCAACGCCUGGCGCCGUGACCAGCCGCACAGGCAUGACCCGGUGCGUGAUGGAGUUCCUAACUUGGUUGAUCAGGACGAGAUACGUCAAGAGGCUGAGCAGGCGGUUCAGCAGGCGGCUGAGCAGGCGGCUCAGCGGGCGGCUUACCAGUCUUUUCCGGUUUAUCCGACGACUUCAAUUGAGGUAGGCGUGACCACUAGGACUGGAGGUGUGCCCUGUUUGGUGCCGCCUCUGCGUAAUGAGCGUUUGCACAAAGAUUUCAAAGGACCUCGGAAGGUGCCUAAUUACACGGCCGACUUACAACCGAGGGCAUGGAUCGAAAGCUACGAGAUGACCAUGGAACUUCUGGAAAUGAGCGACGCUGCAAUGGCCAAGUACUUCGCCAUGAUGUUGGAUGGGACAGCCCGUACUUGGUUGAAGGGGCUCCCACCUAACUCUGUCGGUUCAUGGGCAGAAUUGAAGGCCCGGUUCAUUCAGAACUUUAAGGAUACAUGCAAGCAGCCCAUGUCGAUUUGUGGACUUGACUAAUUGCAAGCAAGACAAGGGUGAAUCCAUGACCCAUUGGGUGCGCCGGGUCAAGGCCAUAAUACAUUCAUCUGAUAAGAUGGAUGCCGGCUCUGCAGUCCUAAUGUUGGAGAAAAAUUGCCAUUUUGAGCCUCUGAAAAAAAGUUGGGGUGGCUCAAGCGCGACUGUAAUGACAUGGGCCAGCUGAUGGUGGCUCUAGUCAAAUAUGACGACUCUAAUAGUACCAAGGAUCCCGAGUCUGACAAAGAGAAGGCAGGGAAGGGAAAGAAGAGCGGCAACGCCAAGGGUCCUCAGCAUAACCCGGCAAAUCAAGGAGGCAAUAAUAAACGUAAGGCUGGCGGUAGCUCGGAGUUUGUGGCUAACACAAAUGCACAGGGCAACAAUCAAGAACGUGAGGGAAGACCACCUCCUCGGUCCGGCGGGUCAGGUCCCAAUAUUGAGCAGUCGCUAAAUGAACCCUAUCCAAGGCAUGAUACUCAUCAGAAGCCGACCACUUACCAGUGGAAGGAUUGUGCGAUCAUGAAGGCUUUCAAGAAUUCUAACAUGUUUGAUGACAAUCAUGGACUGGGCGGAGGCUCAAGCGGCGGCGGGUUUCAUGGCCCGGGUGGUGGUUCUAAUUCCAAUUUUCAAGGCCCUCAAGGUAAUCAGGGCGGUUAUAAUCAGCAAUCUGGCCAGGGAGGUCAGCAGCAGCUGUCUGGAUAUCAGAGUAAUCCAAAGCAGCUGAAUAGUGGACAAUAUUAUGUGUUUACUGAAGGAAAUAUGCCCUAGAGGCAAUAAUAAAGUUAUUAUUUAUUUCCUUAUUUCAUGAUAAAUGUUUAUUAUUCAUGCUAGAAUUGUAUUAACUGGAGACAUAAUACAUGUGUGAAUACAUGGACAAACAUAGUGUCACUAGUAUGCCUCUACUUGACUAGCUCGUUGAUCAAAGAUGGUUUUGUUUCCUAACCAUAGACAUGAGUUGUCAUUUGAUUAACAGGAUCACAUUAUUAGGAGAAUGAUGUGAUUGACUUGACCCAUUCUGUUAGCUUAGCACUUGAUCGUUUAGUAUGUUGCUAUUGCUUUUUUCAUGACUUAUACAUGUUCCUACAACUAUGAGAUUAUGCAACUCCCGUUUAUCGGAGGAACACUUUGUGUGCUACCAAACGUCACAACGUAACUGGGUGAUUAUAAAGGAGCUCUACAGGUGUCUCCAAAGGUACAAGUUGAGUUGGCAUAUUUCGAGAUUAGGUUUUGUCACUCUUAUUGUCAGAGAGGUAUCUCUGGGCCCUCUCGGUAAUGCACAUCACUAUAAGCCUUGCAAGCAAUGUGACUAAUGAGUUAGUUGCGGGAUGAUGCAUUACAUAACGAGUAAAGAGACUUGCCGGUAACGAGAUUGAACUAGGUAUUGAGAUACCGACGAUCGAAUCUCGGGCAAGUAACAUACCGAUGACAAAGGGAACAACGUAUAUUGUUAUGCGGUUUGACCGAUAAAGAUCUUCGUAGAAUAUGUAGGAGCCAAUAUGAGCAUCCAGGUUCCGCUAUUGGUUAUUGACCGGAAACUGUUCUAGGUCAUGUCUACAUAGUUCUCGAACCCGUAGGGUCCGCACGCUUAAUGUUACGAUGACAGUUAUAUUAUGGGUUUAUUGUUUUUGAUGUACCGAAGGUUGUUCGGAGUCCCGGAUGUGAUCACGGACAUGACGAGGAGUCUCGAAAUGGUCGAGACAUAAACAUUGAUAUAUUGGAAGCCUAUAUUUGGAUAUCGGAAUCGUUCUGGGUGAAAUCGGGAUUUUACCAGAGUACCGGGGGGUUACCGGACCCCCCUGGGGGUUAAUGGGCCUACAUGGGCCCUAAGGGAGAAGAGGAGGGCCGGCCAGGGCAGGCCGCGCCCCCUCCCCCCUAGUCCGAAUAGGACAAGGAAGGGGGGGCGCCCCCCUUUCCUCUUUCCCCCUUCCCCAUUCCUUCUCCAACAAGGCAAGAGGGGGAGUCCUACUCCCGGUGGGAGUAGGACUCCUCCAGGCGCACCCCUAGGGGCCGGCCGCACCUCCCCCCUCCCUCCUUUAUAUAUAGGGGGGAGGAGGGCACCCCAUAACACACAAGUUGAUCUUCAUGAUCAUUCCUUAGCCGUGUGCGAUGCCCCCCUCCACCAUAUUCCACCUCGGUCAUAUCGUAGCGGUGCCUAGGCGAAGCCCUACGUCGGUAGAACAUCAUCAUCGUCACCACACCGUCGUGCUGAUGAAACUCUUCCCCGACACCCUGCUGGAUCGGAGUCUAGGGAUCGUCAUCGAGUUGAACGUGUGCUGAACUCGGAGGUGCCGUACGUUCGGUACUUGGAUCGGUCGGAUCGUGAAGACGUACGAAUACAUCAACUGCGUUGAUCUAACGCUUCCGCUUUCGGUCUACGAGGGUACGUGGACAACACUCUCCCCUCUUGUUGCUAUGCAUCACCAUGAUCCUUGCGUGUACGUAGGAAAUUUUUGAAAUUACUAUGUUCCCCAACAGUGGCAUCAGAGCCAGGUUUUAUGCGUAGAUGUCAUAUGCAUGAGUAGAACACAAGUGAGUUGUGGGCGAUAUAAGUCAUACUGCUUACCAGCAUGUCAUACUUUGGUUCAGCGGCAUUGUGAGAUGAAGCGGCCCGGACCGACAUUACGCGUACGCUUACGCGAGACUGGUUUCACCGCCACGAGCACUAGUUGCUUAAAGGUGACUGGCGGGUGUUUGUCUCUCUCACUUUAGUUGAACCGAGUGUGGCUACGCCCGAUCCUUGCGAAGGUUAAAACAACACCAAAUUGACAAACUGUCGUUGUGGUUUUGAUGCGUAGGUAAGAACGGUUCUUGCUAAGCCCGUAGCAGCCAUGUAAAAUUUGCAACAACAAAGUAGAGGACGUCUAACUUGUUUUUGCAGGGCAUGAUGUGAUGUGAUAUGGUCAAGACGUGAUGCUAUAUUUUAUUGUAUGAGAUGAUCAUGUUUUGUAACCGAGUUAUUGGCAACUGGCAGGAGCCAUAUGGUUGUCGCUUUAUUGUAUGAAAUACAAACGCCCUGUAAUUGCUUUACUUUAUCACUAAGCGGUAGCGAUAGUCGUAGAAGCAAUAGAUGGUGUAACGACAACGAUGCUAUGAUGGAGAUCAAGGUGUCGCGCCGGUGACGAUGGUGAUCACGACGGUGCUUCGGAGAUGGAGAUCACAAGCAUAAGAUGAUGAUGGCCAUAUCAUAUCACUUAUAUUGAUUGCAUGUGAUGUUUGUCCUUUAUGCAUCUUAUCUUGCUUUGAUUGACGGUAGCAUUUUAAGAUGAUCUCUCACUAAUUAUCAAGAAGUGUUCUCCCUGAGUAUGCACCGUUGUGAAAGUUCUUCGUGCUGAGACACCACGUGAUGAUCGGGUGCGAUAGGCUCUACGUUCAAAUACAACGGGUGCAAAACAGUUGCACACGCGGAAUACUCAGGUUAAACUUGACGAGCCUAGCAUAUACAGAUAUGGCCUCGGAACACAGAGACCGAAAGGUCGAACAUGAAUCAUAUAGUAGAUAUGAUCAACAUAGUGAUGUUCACCAUUGAAACUACUCCAUCUCACGUGAUGAUCGGACAUGGUUUAGUUGAUUUGGAUCACGUGAUCACUUAGAUGACUAGAGAGAUGUCUGUCUAAGUGGGAGUUCUUAAGUAAUAUGAUUAAUUGAACUUAAAUUUAUCAUGAACUUAGUCCUGGAAGUAUUUUGCAAAUUAUGUUGUAGAUCAGUAGCUUGCAUUGUUGCUUUCAUAUGUUUAUUUUGAUAUGUUCCUAGAGAAAAUUGUGUUGAAAGAUGUUAGUAGCAAUGAUGCGGAUUGGAUCCGUGAUCUGAGGUUUAUCCUCAUUGCUGCACAGAAGAAUUAUGUCCUUAAUGCACCGCUAGGUGACAGACCUAUUGCAGGAGCAGAUGCAGACAUUAUGAACGUUUGGCUAGCUCAAUAUGAUGACUACUUGAUAGUUUAGUGCACCAUGCUUAACGGCUUAGAAUCGGGACUUCGAAGACGUUUUGAACGUCAUGGACCAUAUGAGAUGUUCCAGGAGUUGAAGUUAAUAUUUCAAGCAAAUACCCGAGUUGAGAGAUAUGAAGUCUCCAACAAGUUCUAUGGCUAAAAGAUGGAGGAGAAUCGCUCAACUAGUGAGCAUGUGCUCAGAUUGUCUGGGUACUACAAUCGCUUGAAUCAAGUGGGAGUUAAUUUUCCAAAUAAGAUAGUGAUUGACAGAGUUCUCUAGUCACUAUCACCAAGUUAGUAGAACUUUGUGAUGAACUAUAGUAUGCAAGGGAUGACGAAAACGAUUCCCGAGCUCUUCGUGAUGUUGAAAUCGACGAAGGUAGAAAUCAAGAAAGAGCAUCAAGUGUUGAUGGUUAACAAGAUCACUAGUUUCAAGAAAAGGGCAAAGGGAAAGAAAGGGGACUUCAAGUAGAAUGACAAGCAAGUUGUCACUCCCACGAAGAAGCCCAAAGCUGGACCAAAGCCUGAAACUGAGUGCUUACACUGCAAAGGAAAUGGUCACUGGAAGCGGAAAUGCCCUGAAUAUUUGGUGGAUAAGAAGGAUGGCAGAGUGAACAAGGGUAUAUUUGACAUACAAGUUAUUGAUGUGUACCUUACUAGUGUUUAUAGUAGCCCCUGAGUAUUUGAUACUUGUUCGGUUGCUAAAAAUUAGUAACUUGAAACAGGAGUUACAGAAUAAAUAGAGACUAGUUGAGGGUGAAGUGACGAUGUGUGUUGGAAGUGGUUCCAAGAUUGAUAUGAUCAUCAUCGCACACUCUCUGUACUUUCAGGAUUAGUGUUAAAACUAAAUAAAUGUUAUUUGGCGUUUGCGUUGAGCAUGAAUAUGAUUUGAUCAUGUUUAUUGCAAUACGGUUAUUCAUUUAAAAUCAGAGAAUAAUUGUUGUUCUAUUUACAUGAAUAAAACCUUUAAAUGGUCAUACACCCAACGAAAGUAGUUUGUUGGAUCUCGAUCGUAGUGAUACACAUAUUCAUAAUAUUGAUGCCAAAAGAUGCAAAGUUAAUAAUGAUAGUGCAACUUACUUGUGGCACUUCCGUUUGGGUCAUAUCGGUGUAAAGCGCAUGAAGAAACUCCAUAAAGAUGGAUUUUCGGAAUCAUUUGGUUAUGAAUCAUUUGAUGCUUGUGAACCGUGCCUUUUGGGCAAGAUGACUAAAACUCCGUUCUCCGGAACAAUGGAACGAGCUACUGACUUAUUGGAAAUAAUACAUACCGAUGUAUGCGAUCCGAUGAGUGUUAAGGCUCGCGGCGGGUAUCGUUAUUUUCUGACCUUCACAGAUUAUUUGAGCAGAUAUGGGUAUAUCUACUUGAUGAAACAUAAGUUUGAAACAUUUGAAAAGUUCAAAGAAUUUCUGAGUGAAGUGGAAAAUCAUCGUAACAAGAAAAUAAAAUUUUCUGCGAUUUGAUCGCGGAGACAAAUAUUUGAGUUACGAGUUUGGUCUUCAAUUAAAACAAUGUGGAAUAGUUUCACAAACUCAUGCCACCUGGAACACCACAGCUUAAUGGUGUGUCCGAACAUCAUAACUGCACUUUAUUUGAUAUGGUGCGAUCAAUGAUGUCUCUUACCGAUUUACCAAUAUUGUUUUGGGGUUAUGCAUUAGAGAUAGUUGCAUUCAUGUUUAAAUAGGGCACCAUCAAAAUCCGUUUGAGACGACGCCUUAUGAACUGUGGUUUGGCAAGAAACCAAAGUUGUCGUUUCUUAAAGUUUGGGACUGCGAUGCUUAUGUGAAAAAGUUUCAACCUGAUAAGCUCGAACCCAAAUCGGAGAAGUGCGUCUUCAUAGAAUACCCAAAGGAAACUGUUGGGUACACCUUCUAUCACAGAUCCGAAAGCAAAAUCUUUGUUGCUAAGAAUUGAUCCUUUCUAGAGAAGGAGUUUCUCUCGAAAGAAGUGAGUGGGAGGAAAGUAGAACUUGAUGAGGUAAUUGUACCUUCUCCCAAAUUGGAAAGUUGUUCAUCACAGAAAUCAGUUCCAGUGAUUGCUACACCAAUUAGUGAGGAAGCUAAUGAUGAUGAUCAUGAAACUUCAGAUCAAGUUACUACAAAACCUCGUAGGUCUUCCAAAGUACAGUCUGCACCAGAGUGGUACGGUAAUCCUGUUCUGGAAGUCAUGUUACUAGACCAUGAUGAACCUACGAACUAUGAGGAAGCGAUGAUGAGCCCAGAUUCCGCGAAAUGGCUUGAGGCCAUGAAAUCUGAGAUGGGAUCCAUGUAUGAGAACAAAGUGUGGACUUUUGUGGAGUUGCCUGAUGAUCGACAAGCCAUAUUGUAUAAAUGGAUCUUCAAGAGGAAGAUAGAUGCUGAUAGUAGUGUUACUAUCUACAAAGCUCGACUUGUCACAAAAAGGUUUUCGACAAGUUCAAGGUGUUGACUACAAUGAGAUUUUCUCAACUGUAGCGAUGCUUAAGUCUGUCCGAAUCAUGUUAGCAAUUGCCACAUUUUAUGAAAUCUGGCAAAAGGAUGUCAAAACUGCAUUCCUUAAUGGUUUUCUUAAAGAAGAGUUGUAUAUGAUGCAACCAGAAGGUUUUGUCAAUCCUAAAGGUGCUAACAAAAUGAGCAAGCUCCAGCGAUCCAUCUAUGGACUGGUGCAAGCGUCUCAGAGUUGGAAUAUACGCUUUGAUAAGUUGAUCAAAGCAUAUAGUUUUAUACAGACUUGCGGUGAAGCCUGUAUUUACAAUAAAGUGAGUGGGAGCACUACCGCCUUUCUGAUAAAUAUAUGUGAGUAACAUAUUGUUGAUAAAAAAUGAUGUAGAAUUUUUUUGGAAAGCAUAAAGGAGUAUUUGAAAGGAGUUCUUUAAAAGAAAGACCUCAGUAAAGCUACUUACAUAUUGAGCAUCAAAAUCUAUUGAGAUAGAUCAAGACGCUUGAUAAGUUUUUCAAUAAGUACAUACCUUGUCAAGAUUUUGAAGUAGUUCAAAAUGGAACAGUCAAAGAAAGAGUUCUUGCCUGUGUUGCAAAGGUGUGAAAUUGAGUAAGACUCAAAUCUCGACCACGGCAGAAAAUAGAAAAAAGAGAAUGAAAGUCACCUAUGCCUCAGUCAUAGGUUCUAUAAAGUAUGCUAUGCUAUGUACCAGACCUAUUGUAUACCUUGUUCUGAAUUUGGUAAGGGAAUACAAUAGUGAUCUAGGAGUAGAUCACUGGACAUUGGUCAAGAAUAUCCUUAGUGAGGACUAAGGAAAUAUUUCUCGAUAAUGGAAGUGAUAAAAGAGCUCGUCGUAAAAAGUUACAACGAUGCAAGCUUUUACACCAAUCCAGAUGACUCUAAGUCUCAAUCUAGAUACAUAUUGAAAGUGGGAGCAAUUAGGUAGAGUAGCUCCGUGCAGAGCAUUGUAGACAUAGAAUACUUGCAAAAUACAUAUGGCUCUGAAUGUGACAGACCCGUUGACUAAGCUUCUCUCACGAGCAAAACAUGAUCACACCUCAGUACUCUUUGGGUGUUAAUCACAUAGUUAUGAAUAUUGGUGUUAAAUCACAUGGCGAUGUGAACUAGAUUAUUGACUCUAGUGCAAGUGGGAGACUGAAGGAAAUAUGCCCUAGAGGCAAUAAUAAAGUUAUUAUUUAUUUCCUUAUUUCAUGAUAAAUGUUUAUUAUUCAUGCUAGAAUUGUAUUAACCGGAAACAUAAUACAUGUGUGAAUACAUAGACAAACAUAGUGUCACUAGUAUGCCUCUACUUGACUAGCUCGUUGAUCAAAGAUGGUUUUGUUUCCUAACCAUAGACAUGAGUUGUCAUUUUAUUAACUGGAUCACAUUAUUAGGAGAAUGAUGUAAUUGACUUGACCCAUUCCGUUAGCUUAGCACUUGAUCAUUUAGUAUGUUGCUAUUGCUUUCUUCAUGACUUAUACAUGUUCCUACAACUAUGAGAUUAUGCAACUCCCGUUUAUCGGAGGAACACUUUGUGUGCUACCAAACAUCACAACGUAACUGGGUGAUUAUAAAGGAGCUCUACAGGUGUCUCCAAAGGUACAUGUUGAGUUGGCGUAUUUCGAGAUUAGGUUUUGUCACUCCGAUUGUCGGAGAGGUAUCUCUGGGCCCUCUCGGUAAUGCACAUCACUAUAAGCCUUGCAAGCAAUGUGAAUAAUGAGUUAGUUGCGGGAUGAUGCAUUACAUAAUGAGUAAAGAGACUUGUCGGUAACGAGAUUGAACUAGGUAUUGAGAUACCGACGAUCGAAUCUCGGGCAAGUAACAUACCGAUGACAAAGGGAACAACAUAUAUUGUUAUGCGGUUUGACCGAUAAAGAUCUUCGUAGAAUAUGUAGGAGCCAAUAUGAGCAUCCAGGUUCCGCUAUUGGUUAUUGACCAGAAACUGUUCUAGGUCAUGUCUACAUAGUUCUCGAACCCGUAGGGUCCGCACGCUUAACGUUACGAUGACAAUUAUAUUAUGAAUUUAUAGUUUUUGAUGUACCAAAAGUUGUUCGGAGUCCUGGAUGUGAUCACAGACAUGACGAGGAGUCUCGAAAUGGUCGAGACAUAAAGAUUGAUAUAUUGGAAGCCUAUAUUUGGAUAUCGGAAUCGUUCCGGGUGAAAUCGGGAUUUUACCGGAGUACCGGGGGGUUACCGGAACCCCCCCGGGGGUUAAUGGGCCUACAUGGGCCCUAAGGGAGAAGAGGAGGGCCGGCCAGGGCAGGCCGUGCGCCCCCUCGCCCCUAGUCUGAAUAGGACAAGGAAGGGGGGGGGGGGCGCCCCCCUUUCCUCUUUCCCCCUUCCCCCUUCCUUCUCCAACAUGGCAAGAGGGGGGAGUCCUACUCCCGGUGGGAGUAGGACUCCUCCGGGCGCACCCCUAGGGGCCGGCCGCACCUCCCCCUCCCUCCUUUAUAUAUGGGGGCAGGGGGCACCCCAUAACACACAAGUUGAUCUUCAUGAUCGUUCCUUAGCCGUGUGUGGUGCCCCCUCCACCAUAUUCCACCUCGGUCAUAUCGUAGCGGUGCUUAGGCGAAGCCCUGCGUUGGUAGAACAUCAUCAUCGUCACCACGCCAUCGUGCUGACGAAACUCUUCCCGGACACCCUGCUGGAUCGGAGUCCGGGGAUCGUCAUCGAGCUGAACGUGUGCUGAACUCGGAGGUGUCAUAUGUUCGGUACUUGGAUCGGUCGCAUCAUGAAGACGUACGACUACAUCAACCACGUUGAUCUAACGCUUCCGCUUUUGGUCUACGAGGGUACGUGGACAACACUCUCCCCUCUCGUUGCUAUGCAUCACCAUGAUCCUUGCGUGUACGUAGGAAAUUUUUGAAAUUACUACGUUCCCCAACAUUUACCACCAGCUUGUGCAAAUGGGACCAGAAACUUCAUAAGAGGGUUGUGAAUACUCCACCGGGUCAUUACUCUAACCCUCUGGAGAACAUGAUCACUACAAUGACACGAUUAGCGGCUCUCCCGGUGGAUGGCGACUCUCCGACGGCAGUUGAAACACGAAGGGUCAGAGAACUUCUUCAGACGGCUUUGGCGCAGCAGGAGGCAUACUCUUAUAGUCGAGAUAGGAUUCAUUCGACCCCUCGCCCAAGCCGGAGCCCAAGCCGGAGCCCGAGCUAUAGCAGACACAUGGAUUCAGCAGUCGUUUCAAGCAACGCCCGGCGCCGUGACCAGCCACACGGGCAUGACCUGGUGCGUGAUGGAGUUCCUAACUUGGUUGAUCAGGACAUGAUACGUCAAGAGGCUGAGCCGGCGGUUCAGCACGUGGCUGAGCACGCGGCUCAGCGGGCGGCUUACCAUCUUUUCUGGUUUAUCCGACGACUUCAAUUGAGGCAGGCGUGACCAUUAGGACUGGAGGUGUGCCCUGUUUGGUGCCGGCUCUGCGUAAUGAGCGUUUGCCCAAAGAUUUCAAAGGACCUCGAAAGGUGCCUAAUUACACGACCGUCUUACAACCGGGGGCAUGGAUCGAAAGCUUCGAGAUGGCCAUGGAACUUCUAGAAGUCAGCGACGCUGCAAUGGCCAAGUACUUCACCAUGAUGCUGGAUGGGACAACCCGUAUUUGGUUGAAGGGGCUCCCACCUAACUCCAACGGUUCAUGGGCAGAACUGAAGGCCUGGUUCAUUCAGAACUUUAAGGAUACAUGCAAGCAGCCCAUGUCGAUUUGUGGACUUGACUAAUUGCAAGCAAGACGAGGGUGAAUCCACGACCCAUUGGGUGCGCCGGGUCAAGGCCAUAAUACAUUCAUCUGAUAAGAUGGAGGCCGGCUCUGCAGUCCUAAUGUUGGAGAAAAAUUGCCAUUUUGAGCCUCUGAAAAAAAGCUGGGGCAGCUCAAGCGCGACUGUAAUGACAUGGGCCAGCUGAUGGCGGCUCUAGUCAAAUAUGCCGACUCUAAUAGUACCAAGGAUCCCGAGUCAAAUAAAUAGAAGGCAGGGAAGGGAAAGAAGAGCGGCAAUGCCAAGGGUCCUCAGCAUAACCCGGCAAAUCAAGGAGGCAAUAAUAAACGUAAGGCUGGUGGUAGCUCAGAGUUUGUGGCUAACACCAAUGCACAUGGCAACAAUCAACAACGUGAUGGGAGACCACCUCCACGGUCCGACGGGUCAGGUCCCAAUCUUGAGCAGUUGCUAAAUGAACCCUGUCCAAGGCAUGGUACUCAGCAGAAGCCAGCCACUUACGUGUGGAAGGAUUGUGCGAUCAUGAAGGCUUUCAAGAAUUCUAACAUGUUUGAUGACAAUCAUGGACCGGGCGGCGGCGGGUUUCAUGGCCCGGGUGGUGGUUCUAAUUCCAAUUUUCAAGGCCCUCAAGGUAAUCAGGGCGGUUAUAAUCAGCAAUCUUGCAGGGAGGUCAGCAGCAGCAGUCUGGAUAUCAGAGUAAUCCAAAGCAGCUGAAUAGUGGACAAUAUCAUGUGUUUACCACCAGCUUGUGCAAAUGGGACCACAAACUUCAUAAGAGGGUUGUGAAUACUACUCCACCUCACUAUGUACCAACACCACCAGGUCAUUACUCUAACCCUCAGGAGAACAUGAUCGCUGCGGCGACACGAUUGGCGGCUCUCCCGGUGGAUGGCGACUCUCCGGCGGCAGUUGAAACACGAAGGGUCAGAGAACUUCUUCAGACAGAUUUGGCGCAGCAGGAGGCAUACUCUUAUAGUCGAGAUAGGAUUCAUUCGACCCCUUGCCCAAGCCGGAUCCCGAGCUAUAGCAGACACAUGGAUUCAUCAGUCGUUUCAAGCAACGCCCGGCGCCGUGACCAGCCACACGGGCAUGACCCGGUGCGUGAUGGAGUUCCUAACUUGGUUGAUCAGGACAUGAUACGUCAAGAUGAUGAGCGGGCGGUUCAGCAGGCGGCUGAGCAGGCGGCUCAGCGGGCGGCUUACCAGUCUUUUCCCUAUUAUCCGACGACUUCAACUGAGGCAGGCGUGACCACUAGGAUUGGAGGUGUGCCCUGUUUGGUGCCGCCUCUGCGUAAUGAGCGUUUGCCCAAAGAUUUCAAAGGACCUCGAAAGGUGCCUAAUUACACGGCGACUUACAACCGGGGGCAUGGAUCAAAAGCUAUGAGAUGGCCAUGGAACUUCUGGAAGUCAGCAACACUGCAAUGGCCAAGUACUUCACCAUGAUGCUGGAUCGGACAGCCCGUACUUGGUUGAAGGGGCUCCCACCUAACUCCAUCGGUUCAUGGGCAGAAUUGAAGGCCCGGUUCAUUCAAAACUUUAAGGAUACAUGCAAGCAGCCCAUGUCGAUUUGUGGACUUGACUAAUUGCAAGCAAGACGAGGGUGAAUCCACGACCCAUUGGGUGCGCCGGGUCAAGGCCAUAAUACAUUCAUAUGAUAAGAUGGAGGCCGACUCUGCAGUCUUAAUGUUGGAGAAAAAUUGCCAUUUUGAGCCUCUGAAAAGAAGCUGGGGCAGCUCAAGUGCGACUUUAAUGACAUGGGCCAGCUGAUGGCGGCUCUAGUCAAACAUGCCGACUCUAAUAGUACCAAGGAUCCCGAGUCUGACGAAGAGAAGGCAGGGAAGGGAAAGAAGAGCGGCAACACCAAGGGUCCUCAGCAUAACCCAGCAAAUCAAGGAGGCAAUAAUAAACGUAAGGCUGGCGGUAGCUCGGAGUUUGUGGCUAACACCAAUGCACAGGGCAACAAUCAACAACGUGAGGGGAGACCACCUCCUCGGUCCGGCGGGUCAGGUCCCAAUCUUGAGCAGUUGCUAAAUGAACCCUGUCCAAGGCAUGGUACUCAGUAGAAGCUGGCCACUUACCUGUGGAAGGAUUGUGCGAUCAUGAAGGCUUUCAAGAAUUCUAACAUGUUUGAUGACAAUCAUGGACCGGGCGGAGGCUCAGGCGGCGGCGGGUUUCAUGGCCCGGGUGGUGGUUCUAAUUCCAAUUUUCAAGGCCCUUAAGGUAAUCAGGGCGAUUAUAAUCAGCAAUCUGGCGAGGGAGGUCAGCAACAGCAGUCUGGAUAUCAGAGUAAUCCAAAGCAGCAGAAUAGUGGACUAUCAUGUGUUUACCACCAGCUUGUGGAAAUGGGACCGGAAACUUCAUAAGAGGGUUGUGAACGCCGUUGAGCCGGCAGUUCCUCAUUACUUGAGAUGGUCUGAGCAGCCUAUUCUGUGGAGUAGGGAGGAGCACCCUCCCCGGGUUGGCAAUUCGGGUCACUUGGCCUUGGUGGUGGCACCUCAAGUUGGUGGAUAUAAAUUCACUAAAGUGCUCAUGGAUGGAGGCACUAGCAUCAACAUCCUUUAUUAUGAGACUUCCUGUCGCAUGGGUUUGACUGAUAAAAAUCUUAAGACGUCCAACAUUGUUUUCCAUGGAGUGGUGCCUGGUAAGUCGGUGUACCCAGUGGGUAAGAUUGAGCUGGAAGUGGCUUUUGGAGAUGAGCAUGAUUCCAGGGCCGUGAAGUUAACUUUUGAGGUGGUCAAAAUCAAAAGCCCGUACCACGCCCUGUUUGGACGGCCGGCUUAUGCAAAGUUCAUGGAGCGGCUGUGUUAUGUUUAUCUGCAGCUCAAGAUGCCGGGUCAUAAGGGUACUAUCACAGUGCAUGGGAGAGAUAGCCCUGUAAUGUGAAGAAGGCAAUGCUGCUUACGCUAAGUCUAUCUCUGCAACAGAGGAGUUGAAGUUUUAUAAGGACAAUGUUGACCCGGCGGACAUGACGUCUUUGAAGAAGCUGACCACGGAGCAUGAGCCGGUAAUGAAGUUUAAAUCGGCCGACGAUACCAAGCUGGUUGAUUUUGUUCCUGGCGACGCAUCUAAGCAGUUCAAUAUUAGUGCUAACCUGGAUCCCAAAUAGGAAAGCACGCUCAUCGAGUUCAUCUGUGAGAACCAGGACAUCUUUGCAUGGAAACCUUCUGACAUGCCAGGUGUACCGAGAGAACUCGUUGAGCACACUCUCAAUAUUGAUCCAAAAUUCAAGCCGGUCAAGCAGUUUCUUCAGCGGUUCAGUGAGGAGAGGCGUAAGGCCAUUGGUGAGGAAGUGGCCCGGCUCUUGGCGGUCGAGUUCAUUGUUGAAGUUUUUCAUCCAGAGUGGUUAGCUAACCCGGUGCUAGUGCUUAAGAAAAAUGGCACCUGGUGUAUGUGUGUGGAUUACACGGACUUAAACGAAGCUUAUCUGGCUAAUCCUUUUGCUCUCCCUCGUAUAGAUGAAAUCAUUGAUGCUACGGCGAGUUGUGAGCGUCUGAGCUUUUUGGAUGCUUAUUCUGAUUAUCAUCAGAUCAAGAUGGCAGUUAAGGACUAGGAGAAGACGACUUUUAUUACUCCUUUUGGAGCCUUCUACUGUGUGUCCAUGCCUUUCGGGUUCAAGAGUGCCCAGGCGACUUAUCAGCGAUGUGUGCAGAACUGUCUUCACAAUCAGAUUGGGUGCAAUGUUCAUGCUUAUGUGGACGACAUUGUGGUGAAGUCCAAAUAGAAGGAGACCCUGGUAGAUGAUUUGAAGGAAACCUUUGAUAAUCUCCGGGUCUACAAGAUGAUGCUUAACCCGGCCAAGUGCUUUUUUGGUGUGCCAGCAGGCAAGCUUUUGGGUUUUCCGGUUUCUAACAGAGGCAUUGAGGCUAACCUGGAGAAGAUCAAGGCCAUUACGUCUUUGGUUAAACCGGCAUGUAUCAAUGAUGUUCAGGGUUUGGCGGGUCGUAUUGCUGCCUUAAGCCGGUUAGGUGAGAAGGCCAUACUGUUGUAUCAGAUGAUGAAGAAAACAGACGACUUUGUCUGGAGUGAUGCUGCUAAUGCUGCAUUUGAAGAUUUGAAGAGACAACUGACAGAGCCACCGGUUCUUGCUGCUCCCAUUGAUAAGGAGCCAUUAUUGUUGUAUGUGGCUGCUAACACACGUGAUGUCAGUGUGGCCAUUGUGGUGGAGCACAAGGAGGCUGGCAAAGAAUAUCCGGUUCAACGGCCGGUUUACUACAUCAACGAGGUGCUUAUUGAGUCCAAGCAGAGAUAUCCGCAUUGGCAAAAGCUUGUUUAUGGGGUGUUCAUGGCCAACCGGAAGCUUAAGCAGUAUUUUCUGGGUCAUCCCAUCACUGUGGUUAGUUCAUCUCCUUUAGGAGAUAUCAUUCAAAACAGAGAAGCCACAGGACGAGUCGCCAAGUGGGCCAUUGAGCUUGGGCCUCAUGGUUUAAAGUAUGUGCCAUGCACUGAUAUCAAGUCUCAAACACUGGUGGACUUCAUGAAUGAUUGGACAGAGUUGCAGAUGCCUGAAGAGAAGCCGAACAACACAUAUUGGACUAUUCACUUUGAUGGGGCCAGGCAAUUGGAGGGCUCGGGGGCUGGAGUUGUUUUAGCUUCCCCUCAAGGUGACAAAUUUUGUUGUGUGCUAAGGUUGAUGUUUCCUUGUACUAACAAUGCAGCUGAGUAUGAGGCCUUGCUUCAUGGUCUUCGGAUGGCUAAGGAGAUGAGCUUAAGCCGAGUAAGGUGCUUUGGCGACUCAGAUUUGGUGGCUCAACAACUUUCAGGCAAGUGGGAUUCCAAGGAUCCCCUCAUGGCGGCUUAUCGCCGUGAAGUUGAUGCCAUUGCCGGGCACUUCAAGGGUUAUCAGGUGGAACACAUCGAUCAAAGAAAGAAUGAGGCAGCUGAUGCUUUAAGCCGGCUGGGAUCUCAGCGUAAGCCGGUGCCACCUAACACUUUCUUGGAUAUUCUGCAUAACCCUUCUGUUAAGUUACCUACAGAGGAAGACUUGGCUGUUCCUGACCCAAAAGCACAAUUGGUGGUGGCUCUUCACAUCAUCCCAGAUUGGACAGUACCAUAUUUGGCUUACAUGACCUGAGGCGAGUUGCCUGAGGAUGAAACCUUGGCUAGGCAGAUAACCCGGUGGUCUAAGUCAUUGACAAUUGCCAAUUGUGAGUUACAUCAUCGCAGUGUCACUGGGGCUUUUCAGCAUUGUGUCUCUCCUGAGGAAGGUCAAGAAAUUCUUCGUGAGAUUCAUGAAGGAGAUUGUGGCCAUCAUGCCGGUUCAAAGUCCCUUGUGGCCAAGGCUUUUCGUCAUGGAUUUUAUUGGCUGACGGCUCACCCUGAUGCGGAAGAUAUGGUCAGUAAAUGUGAUGGUUGUCAGAAAUUCUCACGACGAGCUCACGUGCCGGCUCAAGAAUUGAGGAUGAUUCCAAUUACUUGGCCGUUUGCAGUCUGGGGACUCGACAUGGUUGGGCCUUUCAAAAGGUCCAAAGAUAAAAAGACCCACCUCUUGGUGGCUGUUGACAAAUUCACAAAGUGGGUUGAGGCAGAGCCAGUUAGUAAGUGUGACGCAGCCACGACGGUUCAAUUCAUGAAAAAGGUGAUCUUUCGUUUUGGCUUUCCACAUAGCAUUAUAACUGAUAAUGGUACUAAUCUGUCCAAGGGUGCCAUGGAGGAGUUUUGUCAACGUGAGCAUAUUCGGCUUGAUGUUUCAUCAGUAGCUCACCCUCAAUCCAAUGGUCAAGCUAAAAGAGCCAAUCAGGAAAUCUUGAAAGGCAUCAAGCCCCGGCUUAUGGUUCCUUUGCAACGGACGCCGGGUUGUUGGGUGGAGGAGUUACCUUCUGUGAUAUGGAUCAUCAAUACUACCCCCAACAGGUCUAUGGGUUACACGCCUUUCUUCAUGGUUUACGGAGCAGAGGCAGUUCUACCUAGUGACAUCCGUCAUGACUCGCCUCGCGUGGCAGCUUACGUUGAAGCUGAUAAUGAACAAGUGCGUCAGGAUGCACUUGACCUGUUAGAUGAAAAGCGUGACUUGGCAGCAGCCCACUCAACGAUUUAUCAACAGGACCUGCGCCGCUAUCACAGCCGUCGGGUUAAGUCCAGAACCUUUCAAGAAGGUGACUUGGUGCUCCGACUCAUCCAGGAUCAAACUGAUGCGCACAAGUUAUCCCCACCUUGGGAAGGCCCCUUUGUGGUCAGCAAGAACUUGAACAAUGGGUCAUACUACCUUAUCGAUGUUCAGGAGCAGAAAGACUCACGUAAGUCGGAGUAGGAGACCCGCCGGCCAUGGAAUAUCACUCAUCUUCGGCCUUACUACACUUGAGCCACCGGCUAUCAUGAUGUACAUAUUUUGAUGAUGUAUAUAUAUUAUGAUAAGUAAUAAAGCAGGACCUCCAUCCUUUUCAUCCUCAAUGUUCAUGUGUCUUCAUCAUACUUCCAAAGACCAAUUGGGGGCUGAUCGUAUUCAAAUCUAGCUUAAACCCUCUUGGUCCGGCUCAUGAUCGUAUUCGAAUCAUAGCCGUUAAACCUCAUGAUCACUUGGGGGCUUCUUGUUCAAACAAAGGUCAUAUUUGAACCAGAACAUAGUUUUCGGUACCCUCUUGAUCGACACAAUGCCAAACCCACUAGGGGCUUCUUGAUCAUAUUCGAAUCAUAGCUUAACCCCUAUUAGGGUCUGACUUUGAUCGUAUUCGAAUCAGAGUCGUUAAAAACUCUCAAGGUCAUUAGGGGGCUUCCUGUUCAAACAUAGGUCGUACUCGAACCAAAGAGAACAUAGCUAUUGGUACCCUAUUGAUCGGUGCAACGCCAAAACCACUAGGGGGCUUCAUGAUCGUAUUCAAAUCUUAGCUUAACCCUUGUUGGUCCGAUUUACUGAUCGUAUUCGAAUCAGAAGCCUUGAUUUUUUCUGUUUCGGCAUAAGUUUUUUGAAAACAAUUUUUUUUGGUUCUGUCUUGAGACUUUUUUGUUCAGAUCUAAGUAUAUGUGUGUUCUAUUUAACUCGGCUUGGCUUUGGACGAUAGUUUGCCAGCAAAUGACAAUCAUCAAACAUUUGGAAGUGUUGGCUUUCAAAGAUUGGGUUAUCACCCUUACUGUUCAGGUCACAUAAACCGGCAGUGCAAUUUGAAAAUCAUAGGUAUGAUAUUAUAGUUGUGUUUCAAAGUUAUGAUUCAUAACAGGCUUAUCUGUAACUCCUUUUUUUUCCAUAUUAGUGGUUCUAUGUAACAAAUUAUGACCCGCCCUGUGGUAAGCCGCCAAGGGUUCUUGUGAUCUAUUUCUAUGUGCAGGACAGUUUAAGGACUUUCUCAUACAUAAGGAAAACAGAUGAUAAGUAUAAUAAGGGAGAAUAUAAGAUGGUGGCUUAACAGUGUUGAGCACCAAAACGUGCACGAUGGCACGGCAAAGCAAAGUCAUUACUACCCUAUUACAUGACUCCCCGAAUCCAAAUGAUUCAAUUGCUUUUCAAAAGGCUACAAAUAUGAGCCGCCCGGCGGAUCAAUUCUCUUAUUGGCCUGAAGCUUCCAGAUCAACCCUCUCCGCUCCUUCGUCCUGUUCCCUGUCCUGGAAGGUUGAUAAUGACCAGUCAAUGCCAUUCAAAGCUUCAAAUUCAGCUUCAUCAUCAAUUAGCCCGGCCGGGUCAACUUCAGGGGCGAAGGUAUGCUUACAGAUUGGGGGGAUCAGGCUUGUCACUUUAUAACGCGGCGUCGGCAUCCUCUGAUUCCCCGCGUCAUAACCCAGAUGGUACUUGGUGAGGUCCGCCUCAUCGGCAAUCAGGGUGGCCACAGGGUGCAUUUCCUUCACACAAGCAGUGAAGUCCUACUGUUCAAAUGGAGUGCCAUCCUCCUUAAGGCUUGGAUACCCAAUGGCGAUGUCGGCUGGGUCUAAUUCUGGUAGCCAAGCUUUGGCCCGGCUUAAGGCUGCCACGACUCUGGCUCUCGCAGACGAUCGCCUUAAUUCAUUGAAUCGCUGGGGCAGCACAUAAAGCUUCUUUAGCACAUCCACCAGGAGUGUGGGGACUUCAUUUGACAGGGCAACUGUGGCUAAGGCACGCUGAGAUCCAGUGUAAAGUUGUUCCACGAGCGUGUAAAUUGCCUUCAGUUUUAUCAGCAUGUCCUGAUUGAGUUUUGUGCUCCUGGGGCCUGCAUAGCAAUGGCAGAUGAGUUAAAACAACAAUUCAUAUGAUCAAUAGAAAGGUUCAACACUUGGCACUUGCAGGGCAACUUACCAAAGAUUGCCGAGACCAUCUGAGAUACAUGGCGUUUUAAGCUGGACAAUUUAGUGGUCACCUCUUCAAGAGUCGCCUCUGCUUUCUCAGCUCGAUGGGUUAAGGCGAUCUUUCCUCAGCACAUGCCUUUUUCUCCACUUCAAAGUCUGUUUUCUGUUUCUCUUGUUCAGACACACUGAAUUCAAAUUUGGAAUUGGCUCUUUGGGUUUCAGUCUCCUGUGCGUCCAGGCGGUUCUUCAAUUCAGACAGUUCUGAUUGAAGUUGAGUAGUGGUAGCCUGUACAAAUACCAGGUCAAAAUCAUGAAUAUUAGCAUACAAUAUUAAGUCCCAAGCCUUUUGCAAGCAACAACACUCGACACUAGGGGGCUAAUGUCUACCGAAGGAUUCUAUCUAAGUGGCGGUUCAUGAGGGUAAGUCCCAAGCACUUUGCAAGCAAGAGUACUCGGCACUUGGGGGCUAAUGCAUAUUGCUGUUAAACCUACACAAGUACUAUAUUCUACACAAGCAUGUGAAGGACCGGCUUAUUCAUGUUGAUUAAACCGGACCUUGGGGACUAUGGAUUAAGCCAGAUUUUUUUAUAGGUUUGACCAAAGGUUAUUACUGAUGCUUAUAAGUUUGUUCUAAGUCUACGGCAUAUUCAUCAUAAGCAAUAGACUUGGGGGCUGGCAUAGUAAGGAUAAUUCAACGAAGGGAAGAGUUUAUACCUCAAAUUUCUGGUGCAUUUGCUUCACCAUAUCAACUUCGAGGCCACGACUGUUGUGCACUUGGCUAAGAUAGCCAGAAAAAACUUCCCCAAUGCUCAUGUGAGUAUAAUCAGCAAAAUAAUCUGACCUUACGACGUUCCAGGUGUUCCUCCUUGGCAGAGCACUUGGCUAGCACAGUAGGUCUUCCCGGUUUAGUGUAACCGGUCUUGGUAAUUUCAACAUCAGCAUCUUGUGGGUCGUCUGUCUUGGCCGGGCUAGAGACUUCAGGGUUUACAGAGCCGUCGCCGACUUGAUCGGCAGGCGAGUCAGCGGUCGAUGUUGGCGUAUCAUGAGCCGGUUCAAGCGGCGGCUCAGGAACAGAGGCCUCAGGUGCGGCUGUCUAAAGUUCUGGCUCGUUGACGGUUGGCCCUUCGGUCGGCUUGUUCUUCUUCACCCUCUUGCCGGGCUUUGCUUUUCCGCUGCAUAAGAUCAAAAAGGUCAGUACAAAUAUAAAGAAUUAAAAUGAAUACAGGAUAAGUAAAUCAUCAUUACCCUGGAGCGGGCUUAAAAGCCGGCAUGUUGGACUGGAUUGAGUCGCCGGAGGAAGGUGAAGUUUCCUGAUAAUUUGAAUCAGAAGAGUUGAGUGGUUGACGAGUGAGACCCACCAAAGGAUAAAAAGGAUCUAAAUCGGAGGUGACCUCAUUCCGGCGCUUCCUUGGUGUGUUAGGUAAGCCAGAGGAGAGUUCCGCGUCCUUGCUGGUCUGGGUCUGCCUCCGGCUCUCAUGAAUCUGUCGCUUCAAAAGAAAUUGAGGAUCCUGAUAAGCUAAGGGAUGUGAAAAUCUUACUUUCCGGGUUACUCUUCAGAUUUUCUGUCUUGGCAAAGGCUCAGAGUCCAAGGAAAUAAUAGUUACCUCUUCGUCCACUCCGCGACUCGUUCCCGUGUCACCCUGAUGAUAAUCAGUGUCAAUAAGGUGGUUGAAAAAGGAGCCAAGAGAGUCAAGAGCUGCCUCCGACUCAGAGGAAUCUUCUAGUUGAAGCAAGUCAGAGGCGCUGGCCUUCUUUCCUUUCUUCUUGGCGGCGGCUUUCCUGGCAGCUCUCUAGGCCUUCCUGGCUCUCUUUGCAGCCUCAUGAUCAUACUUUUUCUUCCAAAAUUGGUCGUCAGCCUGUGAAAAUCAGCAAAGGUUUGGGUAAAGACAAAACAUCAAGGAUGAAGGUAAAUUUACUCAGUAUGGCGGCUUACCGCUGGAGCCGGGUUAGCUUUGCAGAAAGGGCUUAAGCCCACCUUGCCAUAAUCUGCUAGGCUUUCAUUCAAGAGUGACUUUGUCAUAUCAUCGAUGACAUCGUCAUGUAAAUCAUUAGGGAUGUGCCGCAGAGGAUCAUUCUUCUCGCCCGUGUAGGUGCACAUCAAAUCGGAGCGGCGACUCAACGAAAUGAUCCGCCAGGCAACCCAAACCCGGACCGAGUCAAUACCAUUUAAACCGUUCCCCAAAAGAGCCUUAACUUUAGCCAUGGUGGGGGCGAGUUUCUGGAGAUCAGCAGCUAACAGCUUGUUUGUAAGAGGAUGAUUAAACUCAAGGCACAGGGCGCGAAAGCCGGGUAGAGGGUUCUCAUCAGUUGGAGAAGUGUCGUGGCAAUAGAACCAUGUCUGGUUCCAAUCUUUGGGGUAACUUGGUGGAUUUGCAUAAGGGAAAAUGGCGUCUCUCCGUCGUUGGAUUGAGACCCCGCCGAGCUCCAAGCUAGGUCCGUUGGCACAUUCAUUCUGGUGGUUCAAAUAAAAUAACUCUCUGAAGAGUACCAAGUUGGGUUCUUCUUCAAGAUACACCUCGCAGAAUACUUGAAAGUUGCAAAAAUUAGACACAGAGUUGGGUCUGAUGUCUUGAGGAUGGAGGUCAAAAAAGUACAUGACGUCUCUGAAGAACUUUGAGCCGGGUGGUGAAAAGCCCCGGUUCAUGUGAUCAGUGAAGACAAUGACUUCUCCCUCUUUAGGCUGAGGCUUUUCCUCCGUUGGAUCAGGGGCACGGUACAACAUGACCUCCUUCUUUGGCAGAUAGCCGGUUUUCACAAAGUCAUCAAGGGUACUAUCCGUGACGAUGGAUUUGACACAGUUGCAUGAAGUGCUUGUUUUGGGCGGCAUUGUAGAAAAGGAGGCCUAACAAAGAGUAAAAAUGGCCGGGUCAAAUUUAAGCCGGAGGAAAAAGUGUUACAGCACAUGUUCAGAAUGACAGCUUAUGAAGGGGCCUAAUGGUAUAUGGCUAAAUUAUAUCUGGUUAUUUCAACCGCCAUGAGCAGUCAAGUUAUUUAAGCCGCCAUGAGCGGUUGGUGUUAUUUAUUGAGCAUUGCAAUAUAAGCAGGUGAUUUGAGCCGCCAUGGCUAGGUGGAUCUAUCAAAACACAGAUAUUUGGCUAAGUGUCACAUAAACAAGUUCCACAGAUUGUAGUCAUUAUUUUGGAUCAACGGAUGCUCAGAAAAAGGAAAUUAAUCUAGACCUAAAAAGCCCAAACAGAUGAGUUCGUAAGUUCUAAUGAGAUCUCUUUCCAGAGAAAGGGGAUCUACUGGUAUCAAAAGUGGAGGCAAAACAACCACCGCAUACGUUUUAUAUUUCUUUUGGAUCAAAAGAGGCUACGGUGGAGGAACUACGGAGAAAACAUGAAGAACACGACGGAUGGUCAGGAACCCUAAUGCGAUCUAUCGCGCUGAAGAAGAAGCACUUACAGGUGCAGACUCAACUGCGGUGGGGCGCUGGCGUAUUCUGGUCCAACUCAGGUUGAUGCAGCGGUCGAGGUUGACGAGGACGAGGUGCUCUGCGGCGGCGGUGGAGUUCGAGUGGUAGAAGGUUGUGAGAGGAAGAAAACGCAGGAACAAGGGAGAAUGAAGAAAGACCAGUCGUGCCUAUUUAUAAGGGAAAGACUGAUAAGUGGGCGCGGAAAACGAGGAGGCCGAAAAUAUGGUUAUCUAGAUACUAGGACGCCUUGAUUCUCGGGAUGGUCAUUAAGAUAAGGAUCCGUUGAGAUAUGUUGGACAAAGUGUGAAUUAAUGACAGAUGAUGUCAUGGCGAGUUAUCGUAAAUCCAGAAGAUGACGUGAUGGCGGGUUAUAUACUCUCGACAUUGAAGACCAAAAGAUUUUUGUAAGUGUUUAAGAUUGACAUGAAACAGUUCAAAUCAAUCUAGGGCCUAAUGUUGGGGAUAUAACUAUUAGGUAUGACCCGCCCAGGAGGGGCCGGGUUAUACCUAUGAUGAUUCAAGAUAUGAAGCCCAAGACGACACUUGAAGAUGGCGGUUCAAUUAAGGGCCCAAAGCCCAAAGGCGACUCAAGGCCCGUAGAGAUAAAACGCCAUAUGUAUGUAACUUGUAUUGUAAGGCAGGAAUAGACAGAGAUCGAGCCGGACACUGUUUAUGAGCUGGCCGGGACUCUGAGAGUCGCUGGGCGUCAACCUCUGUAUAUAAAGGGACGACCCGGCGGCGGUUCAGGGCAAGUAACAUCAGAUCGAGAACUAGGUCAAGCGGAUUCACUCCCUGGUAAUCGAGACAUAAGUAAUCCCACCUCAAAGUGGAUUAAGCCAUUACCUUCACCGUAAGGGGCCAAACCAGUAUAAACUCCUGUAUCCUUUGUCCCGUUUUAACCCCUUUAAAGCUUCCUAGUUGCGAUGGCUCCAUGACUAAGUCCUUUCACUAGGACAUCUGCCGUGACAAUUCCACGACAAAAUCCAUGCCUCUCUUGACAAAGUCGUGGCUCCCGCAAAAGCAAAAAAUACAUAUUUUUCGUGCAAAGAAGAAAAAUUGAAUUUUUUGUGUCCAAAACUUAAGAAAGAGCAAUGAAAACCCAAGAAAACAUCUAGAAAGUAGAAAAUGUGUGCGAAAAAAAGAAUGAAGUGGUGGCAGGUGAGAGCGCGCCAGGUGACCUUUGAGGAAGCUCCCAAACGAGCGCUCUUUAAUUAGUUGCUCACAUGGCUUCUGUCAUUGGCCCAAUGUGUUAAUGCAGGACCCUCAUACAAGAACGUAUGGACUUCAUAUCCGAGGAGCUGUUAGCGUUUGUUCUAGGGAGGCUUAUCACGAAUAAUGCUAUCUCAGCUUAUGAAUGUAUGUACUUUAUGAAGAGAAAUAGGUCAAAAAACAACACCUAUUGUGCCCUCAAGCUUGAAAUGAUGAAAGUCUAUGAUAGGGUAGAAUGGAGUUAUUUGGAAACAAUUAUGGGGAAACAGGGGUUUGCUGCACCAUGGAUAGCUAUUGUUAUGAAGAUGGUGAGCACAGUUUCUUUCUCUAUUAUGUUCAACGGAAGCAAAUCGGAGGAGUUUAAACCCACACGGGGUAUUCGCCAGGGAGAUCCUAUCUCUCCAUAUCUCUUCUUGUUGGCAGCAGAGGGGCUUUCAUGCCUUUUAAAUUCUCAGAAUCAGUCAUCCCAGCUCAGCGGCAUUAAGGUGGCACCAUCAGCUCCGCCCGUGAACCAUCUUUUAUUCGCGGAUGAUAGCCUGCUGUUUUUUAGGGCGAGUGUCAAUGGAGCAGAGAAGGUGUCACACCUCUUGAAUACGUGCAUGGCCUCGGGCUAGAGAAUUAACACAGAUAAAUCCUCAAUUUUCUUUAGUCGGGGGUGCCCACAAAUUGUUAGAGAUGUUGUCAAGGGUUGUUUGCAUGUCCGUAAUGGAUCUUUAAGUGCUAGAUAUUUGGGAAUUCCCACUAAUGUGGGGCACUCAAAAAGGGUACCUUUAAGCACUUGAGUGACCGGGUCUAGGACAAGGUGAAAGGGUGGAUGGGCAAAUGUUUAUCGGCUAGUGGCAAGGAAGUGCUCAUAAAGUCAGUAGCUCAAGCGAUCCUGGUUUACUCAAUGUCUUGCUUUAAGCUUCCGUGAGGUUUAUGUGAACAUAUUAAUUCCCUCAUUAGAAAAUUUUGGUGGGGAUGCAAACAAGGUGAAAGGAAACUUGCCUGGGUCUGAUGGGAAAUUAUGACAAGGCCCAAGUAUCUUGGAGGUGUUGGUUUGGGAGAUUUAGAACCUUUUAACCUUGCUCUGCUAGCACGACAGGCAUGGCAGAUUCUAAAGAACGCUUGCAUUUUAAAGGCUUCAUACUUCCCAGAUACGCCAUUCCUUCAUGCGGAACUUGGCACACGCCCAUCUCAGAUUUGGCGUGCAAUUCUGGAAGGAAGAGAUAUCAUGAAACAAGGAAUUAUAAGGCGCAUUGGCAAUGGACAUGCAACUCACAUCUGGGAUGACAAUUGGACCCCGAAGGAGGCUUCACUACGCCCUAUGGCCUAACUGGCCCCUAACCCACCUACUAUGGUGUCUGAACUCUUGUUGCCAGUGAUGGCGACAUGGAACGAAGAUCUUUUCCGAGCUACCUUCCUUCCGAUUGAUGCAAAAUCUAUUUUGAAGUUUCUUUUUUUUUUGAAACGGAGGCAAAGAUUGCCUCAUCUAUUAAUUAAGCAAAAGAGAAUUGCCCAGUUAAUUACGGAAAACUGGGCGAAAACCGGAACAACAAGGGCCAAGCCCACACCCCUAGAUUGAAACACAUUGGGCAAAGCCCACCCUAUUGGACAACAUGUCAACCUAAAGCCAGACAACGCAGCUCCGACUCUGACGGAGAACUUAGAAGAACAAAACCAGGCACGGUUAGCGCCACGAAGAUCACCGAACGGGCCACCUACAACCAGUCAUCGUACACCACAGGGCCCCGCCGCCGCAUCUUCGACUCCACAGCAACAAACAAACCGAGGCAAUACCAUGGACACUCCGGAGAAGAGCCGACUACCGCAACCAUUGCCACGUCGCCGACAUCGCUCCCACCAUCAUCAUUGCCACAGAAGUCUGGUCGCCAUAGUGAUUUUUCCGGGGCCGCCGCCCCAACAUCCGCCGCUCCGUCACGCCCAGCGCAAUCAACCGGCACCGCCUUCCGGGGCCGCCGCCCCGACAUACCACUGCUCCCCUCGAGCAGUAACGCCGCACAACCCAGCUGCCCGCAGCCCACACCGCUCAAGGCAACCGCUCGCAGACCAUGAACGUCUCACCACAUCCGGGGCCGCCGCCCCGACAUAACGUCAGACCGCCCCCUAUGGGGCGCAUCGACCGAGCCGACACCCCUACCGCCCAAGCGGGACAAGGAUGCCACCCAACCAAUGUGGAGAUAGAGCCCCACCUCAUAGAGCUGCCACUCGCAUUGUUCCCGAGAUCGCCAUCUCGACUGAAAGUGUGUUAUGUCGACUAGAGGGGGGGUGAAUAGGCGAUUUUUAUGAAUUCUUCACUGAGGAAUUUGCCGGUGAGGAAAUUCCUUAGUGAAGGACUAUUAGCAGCGGAAUAAGUACUCAGAAGUAAGCAUAACAGAAUACAAGCAUGGUCAUCAUGAUGAAAUGAAGACUAGCACAGAGUACAGAAAGCGUAAUCACAGGAUAACACAAGAUGAAGACAAACAAACUGAAGAAAUUGAACUGAGGAAAUUGAGAAAGUCUUCAGUCAAAGUCUUCAAACACAGAUAUGAACAAACACUCAACACAGUAAUGAGGAAAUGAAAGGGUUGAGGAAAUAGAACCAGUAGGUUGGUGAAGACAAUGAUUUGGUAGACCAGUUCCAACUGCUGUCUCAGUUGUACGUCUGGUUGGAGCGGCUGAGUAUUUAAACUCGAGACACACAGUCCCGGACACCCAGUCGCUGAGCACGCAGCUCAGGACACCCAGUCCUCACCGUAUUCUCCUUGAACUAAGGUCACGCAGACCUCGUCCAAUCACUCGUGGUAAGUCUUCAGGCGACUUCCAAACCUUCACAGACUUGGUCACUCGGCGAUCCACAAUUCCUCUUGGAUGCUCUAGACCUUGACGCCUAACCGUCUGGAAGAAGCACAGUCUUCAAAGGUAACAGGCGUCGGAUCCACGCAUGAUCAAUUUCUUCAGUGAUGCUCAAUCACUUUGGGUUUGUAGGGGUUUGGUUUUGGGUUUUCCUCACUUGAUGAUUUUCUCUCAAAGUCCUCGGAGGAUGGGUUGCUCUCAAAUGACAAGUGUCAAGUUCUCUCGGAGCAGCCAACCAGCUAGUGGUUGUAGGGGGCGGCUAUUUAUAGCCUAGGGAGCAGCCCGACAUGAUAAGACAUAAAUGCCCUUCAAUGAUAUGACCAUUAGGUGGAUAAGAUAUUUUGGGACAGCUGGCGCGCAGCACAGCAACGGUCGGAAAUUUGACUCUCAAAUUCCUCAGGGCUAUCAUGUUCCUCAUUGUGUAGGUAAUUCGUACCGACGAAUUCCUAACUCCUCAGUCAGAACAAAUUCAUCAGUGACCAGAAGAACUUCGUCUCUGUCACUGGAGAAAGUGACUGAACUGUAUGAGAUUUCCAAAGGCUUCACUCGAAGGGAUUGGUAGGUGUAGGAUUUUGAGUUGAGCAUCACAUGGAAAUUUUUCCUUAGUAUUUCCUCGACCCCCUUUAACAGUACGGUGUUUCCUAUGACUCAAGAAGGAGAAAAAGAAACUUCGAAAACAAAAGUCUUCAUGCUUCAUGUUCCACAAAUGAAUACCAAGUCUUCAAGGUCACACCAAUUUCUUCACUUUCAAAGUCUUCAGAAAGUCUUCAGAAUAUCAAAGUCUUCAGUUGAAGAACUUCAUUUUUAGGGGUCGACUUUCUCUGUAAAUAUCAAACUCCUCAUAGACUUAUAGACCUGUGUACACUCACAAACGCAUUAGUCCCUUAACCUAUAAGUCUUCAAUACACCAAAAUCACUAAGGGGCACUAGAUGCACUUACAAUCUCCCCCUUUUUGGUGAUUGAUGACAACAUAGGUUAAGUUUUCAACGGGGAUAAACAUAUGAAGUGAUUACACUGAUAUUGAGGAAUUUGAUUACAAGAUAUAGUAGAACUCCCCCUGAAGAUGUGCAUAGUGAGGAAUUUUCUUUUGAGGCAAUGCACAUUUGAAGAGUUGAAUCAUGGAGAUCUCCCCCAUAUCUUGUACUUCAUACACGCAUUUGAUAUAUAAUAUGAAGAAUUUGAAAUGCAUGAUGAAAUAUGGUGCCUGAUGUGAUUCAGCAUGCGUGCAAUGUCAUUAACGAGGAAUAAGCAUGCAAAGCAUAAUGCAACAAAAGUAUCGGCACACCAUCGGGUUUAAGAUUACAACUCGAUCCAAAUAAAAGUUUCAGAAGAACGGGAGUUGUAACUUAAAAAAAUGCCCUUAAUAUAGACCCGCUUGAAGACUAACUCAGAUUUCUCCCCCUUUGUCAUCAAAUGACCAAAAGGAUUGAAACUGAGGACUAACGCCCCUGAAGAAUUUCAAGUCGAUGGAGGAGCGCCAGCGUUGUCGGGGUUGUUUGUUGUAGCAGGGCCUGCCGCAGUGUCGUCCAAAUCUUCAUACUCAUCAGUGUCACGCGAUGAAGAAUAAGAGCUGGCCACUAAGGAAGGAACUUUGACCUUCUUGAAUUUCUUCGGUGGAGGGGCAGACCAGUCAAAUUCUUCCUUGAGACCCAUAUUCUUCAGAUCUGCAGCGCUGUAGACAUGAGAGAGAACAGCCCAGGUACGGUUGAAGGUUUCAUGGAGGUAGUAUUGGUUUUUCUUCACUGCAUUGUGUGUUGAGGUCAUGUUGUGAAGAAUUGAACCAAACUGACGCUUGACCCAUUUGUGAUUGCGAUCAACCUUCUGAUGAAGACUGAGGAGUAACUCACGGUCAGUCAUCACCCUGGGUGCUGUGGCUUGAGGAUUUUGCUUGGCUGAGGUAUUAGCGGCAGAGUCAUGUGUGGCAGAAUCGUCAUUGGUAGAGUAAGAGGUAGCCUUGCGAAAUUGACCAUCCAAUGGCGAAUGCCUUCAUCAAUCACAGCAGCGGCCUUGCCUUUAUCAUCAGCUGAUGAAACUGUCCGUUUGAGGACUUCAAUGGGAGGCAAGUAGCUACCGUGGUUCAGAGUGUCAGCUUUGUAAUUCAGUGAAGAUCUUGCCCUGAUGAAUCUCAUAAUCCAAGGAGCAUAGGGCUUCAGCUCGAAUGGUGACAUAGCAAUAUUGGCCAGAGUCCUCAUGAAGAAAUCAUGGAAGUUGACGGGAACGCCAUGAAUGAUGUUGAAAAGCAUAUUCUUCAUGAUGCCAAUGACUUCUUCAUCAUUUGAGUCGUGGCCUUUGAUAGGACUCAUUGUCUUCGUCAGAAUUCGAUAGAUAGUCCGAGGCACAUACAAUAAUUCCUUGACGAGGAAUUUGGUUCGUGGGGCCUGCCUUGGCUUCAAAGGCUUCAUCAGCACUUGCAUAUAAUGAUUUGAAAGUUCUGGUUCAUUGUAGAUACAACGAGCACCAUCAAGUGGAGGACUGAGUGGUAGAGCACGAAGCAAUUCAGUUGCUGGUGCCUUGUAGUGAGUAUUUUCAGAUAUCCAGUCUAAUACCCAUGAGUUCACGUCUUCAGCGUCUCCGGUGAUGUGCAGAGUUGCAUAGAAUUGAAGAAUGAGUUCUUCAUUCCAGUCACAGAUAUCAAUGCAGAAAUUUAGAAGUCCUGCAUCGUGAAGAACACUGAGGACUGGCUCAAAGCCGGGCAGAGACUCCAUGUCCACAUGAGGAAUAUGUGCAUGAUCGAAGACUUUGUCUUUGUUGAAGAGCACUGAGGAAUAGAAAUUGGCUUGGCUGGCAGUCCAGAACCGCCUCUUCCUUAUGCGAGCAGAAUCAUAUGGAUUAUAAUCAGUGAAGAAUACGUGCUAGGCAAAGAAAUCUUUAGCCUUGAACUUCUGUUUGCAUGAGAACGGAUUCUUUUGCUUUAGCAGAGGGGUGUCAGUGAGUUGCAUCACCACCUCAGGAAUUGUGAGCUCAGGUUCUUUCAGGCUGAGGAAUUUCUUGUUCCUCAACAGGUGCAGUCUGAGGAUCAACAACAGCAGGUUCAUCAGCACUAGUGGCUGGAAUUUCUUCAUGGACAGAUGACGUGGGAUGAGUUUCUUCAGAGCCCAUUUGAACAGUUUGUGCAGGGGACUGAGGUAUCUGUUGGAGUGGGGUGAAGAGUAGAGAAUUUGGAUGUUGACUUUCCCAAAAGUCACCGUUCAUCACUGGCGUUGUGCUUCCAAUAUCCACAUCUUCUUCAAGUUCCUCAACACCGGCCUCUUCAGCUGUGAACUGAGGCAUAGGCGAGGAAAUGAUUAGGGUUGAAGGGAUUGCUUCCACUUCAAUUUCUUCAUCAAUCUGCUCUGACGAAGCAGCAUAAUGAUUUUCUUCAUCAGAUCCGCUUGGGAUCUCAUAGUCUUCUCCAAAAGGAACAAGGUCCUUUGAUGGCAUGGAGGAAAUCGGAACAACAUCAAUUGGAUUUUCGAGCGAGCUGGUCGUUGGCUUCAUUUUCUUCAUAGCCGAAGAGUUUGACGCAGCUGAUGCCUUCCUUUUCUUCACUGCAGCUCGCUCUGCAGCCUUGGUCUUCUUCACAUCGAAUGCACAUAGAAGAAUUGGAGUUGGUGUAGGUGCAGAUGGAGCUGAGGAAUCUGGUUGAUUUUCUUCAGGCGCAACUGAUGCAGUUGCCCUGACUUCUUUAGUUUCUUCAGGCGCACCAUGCCCUGGCAAUUUCUUCAGCGGCUGGAAUGGGAUCAUCAGCCCUGGAACUAGCAUUUUCAUCAGCAGCCUGAACUUCAUCAGCGGUGCUGGCAUGUUCUUCAGUUGGCUGAGCUGAGACUCCAGCCUGAGGAAUUUCAUGUUGCAUUGGGGCAGCAACAUUGGUGAAUUUCUUCGUCAGGUUGAUGAAUCUGACUUUGGCUCCUUGCCAAUCAGCAUAGUAGGCAUCAAAGUCAUUGCCGAGGGCUUGAAUUUCAGACUUAGCCUGGAGAAGUUCCUCAGGUGUCAUUCUGACAACAUUUUUCUUCAGGAGCUUCUCCUUUCUGUAUUGAGCUUUCUUAAUCUCUCUUGCCUUUUCAAACUUCCAUUUCUCUUCAGUGAUGAAAUGGGUCAACAUAUGACUUUGUCCAGGGGUCAGAUGAAAAUCAGGCAUUGGGGUGUUUGGAUCCUUGUGCCAGAGAUCAAUAUAAUCGAGGAUUUUCCUUGGAUCCAACAGCAGUGGCACAGAUGUGCCUUUGGCCCUAGCGGCCUUCACCUGUCUGUCUCUGAUGAUUUCUGCAAGUUCAUCAUCAGAAGCUUCAUCAUCAGAAGGCACAUGGAAUGCUACCUGUUUCUUCUUUGGACUUGGCCGAGGACCUCGUCCAGCUGUUGCUUUGGUCUUCAGCAGAGUCGGGCCAGAUGAUGACUUUGGUGCAGCUGAGGAACUUGCUGAAACACCAGAGGCAAUCGAGAAACCAGCAGUCCUUUGACAUGUAGCCAGAUGCACACGAGCUGAGGACUUUGGUGGAGCAGUAGCAGUGUGAGGAAUUUGCCGUGGGGGCGCUGCUGAGGAACUUGGCCGUGAGGGCACUGUUGGUGAAGCACUUGGCUUACGAGCAGGCUUCUUUGGCAUGGAUUUCCUCGGUUUGACCGAGGCCUCAGUAGCAGUAGCAGUGGCAGAAUCCUCAUUGAAUUUCUUCACUGCCUCCUUGGCUUGUCUUGCCAAUUUUGCUUGGCGCUUAGCCCAUUCUUCAGGAAAGUCCUCACCACGUUUGAUGCUUGUGGGAUCAGCUACUUGGCCAGGUGCCAAUGGAGCUCUUGGGCAUGGAGGAUUGAGGGCGAAUUUCUUCAUGUACUUUGGAGUCACAUAUCUGUAUUCCCUCCAUUCCCUUGCCCAUCUCCGUUCAAUCUUCUAAAUGCGCACCUUGCGCUGAUUUUUGUUUUCUUUGCCAAAUUUUGCUUCAUCAGGUGUGCAGUAGUCAGCAUAAAUUUCCUCAGGGAUUUCAAACACAGUCAUAACCUCAGGUUUCUUUCCUCCUUUCUGCGGCUUCUUACCUUCUGCCAUAUUCUUCAGUUGAGGAAUUUGAACAAUUGAGUUCUCUGAAGAAGUAUGCAGUUUUUCUUCGAGGAACGCUGCAAAUGAGUUAAGUUGAUGAGAACCUAGUGAUUCAGCAGCAGACAUGAGUACCUGUGAACAGAGUACAGGUGCGAGGAAUUCGAAAGGUCAUAUGCGUUCUGAGAAGGUUUUUCAAAAAGAACAAGUUUUGAGAAAUUUGACCAGAUGAACCUUGAGGAAUUUCACUAAGCGUUCUUGUCUUAGGUUCCAGAGUUGUACAGAUCGAAGAUCCACACAAUUAGGGAAUCUUGAAGAAAAUGAUUGCUUAGAGAAACAGUUCAAGAUCAUAUGAUGUGUGUGGUGUUCAUAUGUGUGAAGAUUUGAAGAAUAAACACCUUUGAAGAUUUUCAGGAAAGCUUGAGAAUCAAAGCGAGUAAUAAAAGUAAAUUUUAAUUACCCGAAGUGAAGAACACGACGAACUGAGAAGAACAGAUGGGAAGUUCAUCAGGUUAGAUCUUCCUUGCCCUAACUCGGCGGAGGAAGACAGCUACGGCGGCGGCGGAGUGAAGAUUUCCGCGGUCGGCGUGAGUACGACGGCGACGAGGUCGAGGCAGCGAAGCUCUUCCUCACUGGCGACGAUGGAGUAGCGGCGGCGCUAGGGUUUGAGGAGCUCGAGUGAGAGAGUAGCGAUCGAGCGGAGUAAAUGAAGUGAGGAAGGGGAGAGGGGUAUUUAUAGACACGGUGAAAAACUGUUCGCCCAAAGAUUUGGGACGAACGUGCCCCUGCCCUUUCUCCUUCACGUGACAUGUGUCACCCACGUACUGUGUAGUGGAGAUCGUGUACGAUCGUGGGUGAAUAGAAUAAUGCAUCGUGGGAUGUGGAACAGUUUGAGCGGCAAAACUGAAAAUUUGGAUAAGAUUUGUUUUAAAGUUUCGUUCGCAAUUUCUUCAGCUGACAAGGACACAGUGAAGAUUUUGAACAAGUUUCAAAUAGAACGCAUAUGAAGAAUUUGUGAAUAGAUUGGGUUGAGUAUAGCAUAGAGGGGGAAGGGUCCGAUCACAUUCACUUAGCAAAAAAAACAACUUGAAGAAAUAGCUAUAAGUGAAUNNNNNNNNNNNNNNNNNNNNNNNNNNNNNNNNNNNNNNNNNNNNNNNNNNNNNNNNNNNNNNNNNNNNNNNNNNNNNNNNNNNNNNNNNNNNNNNNNNNNNNNNNNNNNNNNNNNNNNNNNNNNNNNNNNNNNNNNNNNNNNNNNNNNNNNNNNNNNNNNNNNNNNNNNNNNNNNNNNNNNNNNNNNNNNNNNNNNNNNNNNNNNNNNNNNNNNNNNNNAUAUAUAUAUAUAUAUAUAUAUAUAUAUAUAUAUAUAUAUAUAUAUAUAUAUAGCCAAUGAAGAAAAACGAAGGGAACAGUGAAGAUUUUGCAAAGUUGAAGAAUUUGAAAAUCUGAAGAAUUUCAAAACAAAAAAAACUCAAAUUGAAGAUUUUCAACUUUUUGUGGUGCGUGACCCACCGUAUAAGAAUGAUGAUUUCAGACACCGCGUACAAUUGUCGUAGGGUUCUGAGAAUCAAAUUCUUCAUUAAUUUCUUCACACUUAGAGUGUUAUUCUUCAUUGAUUGAAGAAAAACGUUUCUUCAUGUGUUGCACAUCUAAGUCAUCAAUUUUGCAUAAGUGUUAGGAUGUGUGUCCUUUUCAAAGAACAUUCGAAGAUUCUAAGAUAUUUAGCUCACACCGCAACUUGCUAAAUCUCUUCUCAUCCAAGGGCUUAGUGAAGAUAUAAGCUAGCUGUUCUUCAGUCUUCACGUGCUCGAUGGAGAUGUCGCCCUUCAACACAUGAUCACGAAGAAAAUGAUGACGAAUCUGAAUGUGCUUUGUCUUCGAGUGCUGAACUGGGUUGUGAGCAAUCUUGAUGGCACUCCCAUUGUCGCAGAGGAGAGGCACAUUCUUCACGUUGACGCCAUAGUCCUUGAGUGUUUGCUUCAUCCAAAGCAGUUGAGCACAGCAAGAGCCAUCAACAAUGUAUUCAACUUCCGCAGUAGACAGUGAUACGCAGUUCUGUUUCUUUGAGGACCAACAGACCAAAGAUCGUCCGAGGAAAUGACAAGUGCCAGAAGUUGACUUGCGGUCCACACGAUCACCAGCAUAGUCAGAGUCAGAAUAUCCAAUGAGAUCAAAAGCAGAGCCCUUGGGGUACCAUAAUCCUAGUGUUGGUGUGUGAGCUAGAUAUCGAAGAAUAUGCUUCACAGCCUUAUGGUGUGAUUCCUUUGGUGCAGCUUGAAAUCGGGCACACAUGCAAACACUAAGCAUUAUAUCUGGCCUAGAUGCACAUAAGUACAAUAAAGAACCAAUCAUGGAGCGGUAUACCUUGUGAUCGAAGUCAAUACCAUUUUCAUCAGUGCAUAGAUGGCCUUUUGUGGGCAUAGGAAUUUUGACGCCUUUGCAAUCUUGCAUGCCGAAUUUCCUCAGUACAUCUUUGAGGUAUUUCUCCUGAGAUAUGAAUAUGCCAUUGCGCUGUUGACGAAUUUGAAGACCUAAGAAGAAUUUCAACUCUCCCAUCAUAGACAUUUGAUAUUCUUCACUCAUCAUAUAGGCAAAUUCAUCACUAUAACGUUGGUCAGUACAGCCAAAGAUAAUAUCAUCAACAUAUAUUUGGCACACAAACAGUUCACCAUCAUAAGAUUUAGUAAAGAGAGUAGGGUCGAGUGAACUGGGUGUGAAGCCAUUCUUCACGAAGAAUUCCUUCAAUGUAUCAUACCACGCCCGAGGGGCUUGCUUGAGGCCAUAGAGGGCCUUAUUAAGUCUGAAGACUUUGUCAGGAUUCUUUGGAUCUUCAAAACCUGGGGGUUGAGCAACAUAUACUUCUUCCUCAAGCUUACCAUUGAGGAAUGCACUUUUCACAUCCAUUUGAUAUAAGAUGAUAUCAUGAUGAUUAGCAUAAGCAAGUAAUAUGCGAAUAGCCUCAAGUCUAGCAACAGGUGCAAAAGUUUCAUCGAAAUCAAUUCCUUCAACCUGUGUGUAGCCUUGAGCUACCAGUCGUGCCUUAUUCCUUACCACAAGGCCAUUUUCAUCUUGCUUGUUGCCGUAGAUCCACUUUGUGCCAAUGAUAUUAUGCUUGCGAGGAUCUGGACGUUUGACCAGUUCCCAGACAUUGUUGAGCUCGAACUGAUGUAAUUCUUCUUGCAUAGCCUGAAUCCACUCCGGCUCCAAAAAUGCUUCAUCUACCUUAGUGGGCUCUGGCGCUUCAAUGUCAUUGAUGAUCUUAUCAACUUGUACUUCUUUUGCAACGCGAGGAUGAGCUGGUUGUCGUCGAGGUAUUUGAUCAUUUUCCUCAGCACCAUUGUCUUCAGCAUUAUCUUCAGGUGCGUCAGCUCGACGUUCUUCGCGUACUGGAAUGAAUUCUUCAGCAAAUUCUUCAGUAGGAAUGACAUCCUCAGCUGCCUUGAACUUGAUAGAAUCCUCAGGUGCUGGUUCAUCUAACACAGAAGGUAGGUGCUCUCUUUGCGAGCCAUUAGUUUCAUCGAACCGCACAUCUACAGUUUCAACAAUCUUGUGAAGAGCGAUGUUGAAGACUCUGUAGGUGUGCGAGUCCUUUCCGUAACCAAGCAUAAAACCUUCAUGUGCUUUUGGUGCAAAUUUAGAAUUGUGGUGAGGAUCUCUAAUCCAACAUUUAGCACUGAAGACUUUGAAAUAACUCACAUUGGGUUUCUUGUCAGUGAGGAGUUCAUAGGUCGUCUUCUUGAAGAAUUUGUGAAGAUAUACUCUGUUGAUGAUGUGGCACGCAGUAUCAAUUGCAUUGAUCCAAAAACGAUGAGGCGUUUUGUAUUCAUCAAGCAUAGUGCGAGCCAUCUCAACAAGAGUUCUGUUCUUGCGCUCCACGACGCCAUUUUGUUGAGGAGUAUAAGGAGCAGAUAGCUCAUGAGUAAUACCAAGUUCAUUAAGAUAGUCAUCAAGACCGGAAUUCUUGAACUCAGUUCCAUUGUCACUUCUGAUGUGCUUGAUCUUCACACCAAAGUUAGUUGAAGCCCUCGAGGAAAAUCGUUUGAAGACUUCCUGCACUUCAUGUUUGUAAGUAACAAUGUGUACCCAUGUAUAUCGAGAGUAAUCAUCAACAAUGACAAAACCAUAUAGAGAUGCAACAUUAGAGACUGUUGAGUAAUGAUUAGGUCCGAAGAGGUCCAUGUGAAGCAAUUCGAAUGGACGAGUAGUGGUCAUGAUAGUCUUCGCUGGAUGCUUGGCCUUGGUCAUUUUUCCAGCUUCACAGGCUCCGCAUAAGUGAUCCUUGAGGAAUUUGACAUUCUCAAUGCCAAUGACAUGCUUCUUCUUCGCAAGCGUGUGCAAAUUCCUCAUGCCUGCGUGACCAAGUCGUCGAUGCCAUAGCCAGCCUUCUGAAGCUUUUGCAAGUAGACACACGGCUGGUUGUGGUCCUGUAGAGAAAUCAACAAUAUACAAAUCUCCUCUCCUAAAGCCUUCGAAGACUUUGGAAUUGUCAGCUUCCAUAAUCACAACACAACGAUACUUGCCAAAGACAACAACCAUAUCGAGAUCACAAAGCAUUGAGACUGACAUGAGGUUGUAUCCUAAGGACUCAACAAGCAUGACUUUGUCCAUGCGUUUAUCCUUAGAGAUCGCAACCUUACCAAGACCCAAUACCUGACUUUUGCCUUUGUCAGCAAAUAUGAUAUUCUUCAGAUGUGAUGGUGAUAAGGGAGCAUCCAUCAAAAGAUUCUUGUCACCAGUCAUGUGAUUUGUACAUCCACUAUCGAGGACCCAUUCAGUGGUUUUGGGUUGAUCAUCUUGCAGAUGAAUUAGUGUAACUUACAAUCUCAUAUGCUUCAUCAGUGAAGAAUAUGAUAUCAAGUUCAUCAGAUGAAUUUCAUCAAGAGGUAAACAGAUAUAGCAGUAUGAGGACGUGUGAAAUGAAAGUUCAUUUCAUCAUGGUUAGCCUGCGUCCUUUCAGGCAAUUUUGUGAGGUCCCUAGCAAAUUCUUCAGACGUUAGGGCACGUCUGGAGACCUGACCCUGCAUAAGAGAUUAGUUCUUUUUCUUCACCACCCACAUCUGAAGGGGUGGCAAAGAGUUCAUCAUUCUGCGAGCACCAUACGAGAAUGGUGGCAUAGAAGCCAAACCAUUUCGUGUCACAUAAGAGGGGUUAGGGUAAGCAUAUGAAUAAGCAGAGAAAUUCUUCGAGGACUUAUGAACAUAAUGAUUUGAAGAAUAAUGUGCAUAUUCGUAGCCCUUAGCUCUACCCUGCGAAACAGAGUUGUUAGCAUGAUGAUAAUCAUAUGAGGACUUUGAUCCAUUUGAGGAAUUUGAUCCACGUGAGGAAUUUGGUCCAUAUGAGGACUCGGAUCCAUAUGAAGAAUUAGGUCCAUAUGAAGAGUUUGUUCUGGGGUUCCUAUUCUUCACAGGUGGUGUCAUGAGGACAUUCACCUGAAGACCUUCAACAUAACUUUUGGGAACCCAGAUUUUCUUCAUAGGGGAACCGUUCCUGCAGUUAGUCCCAACAUAUCUAGCAAAUACUUCACCAUUCUGAUUUUUGAACAGUUUAUAGUUGGAGUCAAAUGACUCAUCAGAAGAAUGAGGAGAUUCACAUGUAAAGCCAGAUAACUUGGAUGGAUCAACUGGAGGUUCCUUUGCAGCAACCCAUGAGGUUUUGGGGUACUGCUCAGGCUUCCAAUAUGUUCCAUCAGCAUUAAGUUUCCUCUCAAAGGCAAUACCCUCUUUCCUAGGGUUUCUGUUGAGGAUCUGCUUUUUGAGCACAUCACAAAGAAUCUGAUGCCCUUUGAGGCUUUUGUACAUGCCUGUCAUGUACAGUUCCUUCAGCCCUGCAUCGUUAGUGAUACUAGCAAUGUCCUCAGAUGAGGAAUUAGUGAUAGCUGAGGCAGGUGAAGAAUUUGUAACAGUUGAAGCAUUUGAACAUUCAGGUGAAGAAUUAGUAGAUUCACGUUCAAUGCACUUUAAGCAUGGAGGAACAAAUUCUUCCUGAGAAGUGCUGAUUUGUUGAGCAAGUAAUGAAUCGCGCUCCUUUUGAAGAUCUUCAUAACUCACUCUUAGCUUCUCAAGAUCUUGCUUUCUUUGAAGAAAUUCAUAAGAAAGUUUCUCAUGAUCAGAUAAGAGAGUGUCAUGAUGACUUUGAAGGUUAUCAAACCUAGACUGAAGUCUCUGAAGAUUUUCAGUCAGGGCUUUAGUGCGAUCCAUUUCUUCACCCAACAUAUCAUCACUUUUGUCUAGGAUGUUUUGAACCUUUUCCAAGGCAUGUUGUUGUUUGGUGGCAAUGCAAACAAGUUUGGUAUAGCUAGGUUUAAUAUCAUCAUCAGAUUCAUCAUCAUCAGAUUCACAGUUACUAAAUUCAGAUGAGGAACAUUCGGUUACCUCGACACCCUUUGCCAUGAGACAUGAUGCAGAAGAUGAUGAUUCUGGUUCGAAAAUCAUCAUUUUGAGAGAUUCCUUGAAGUCCUCAAACCAAGGAUCAUGACGGGUUCGAUGACCUUCAUAGACGUCGGAGAUUCGGUCCCAGAUAAGCUUUGCAUUGCAAAGAUGCAUAAUGUGCCUGAAUUGAUCUCUGGAUAGGCAGGAACAGAUGAUAUCCUUCGCCAUGAAGUCAAGUCGAGUGUAUUUGCGAAUAUCAUCUGCGUUCGCUGACUUGCAUAGAUCAGUAAGACCAAUCUCAGUGACGGUCCACAGCUCGCUAUCCCUUGCCAUGAGGCGCUUCCUCAUCAUGGCCUUCCACUUGGGAUAAUCAUGACCGUCAAAGAUAGGGCAUGUCACUUUCUUCAUACCUGCGGUCGACAUAACUAAAACUCCAGGCGGUUAAACCAAAAUCACAAAGAACAAGGGAGUACCUUGCUCUGAUACCAAUUGAAAGUGCGUUAUGUCGACUAGAGGGGGGGUGAAUAGGCGAUUCUUAUGAAUUCUUCACCGUGGAAUUUGCCGGUGAGGAAAUUCCUUAGCGAAGGACUAUUAGCAGCAGAAUAAGUACUCAGAAGUAAGCAUAACAGAAUACAAGCAUGGUCAUCAUGAUGAAAUGAAGACUAGCACAGAGUACAGAAAGCGUAAUCACAGGAUAACACAAGUUGAAGACAAACAGACUGAAGAAAUUGAACUGAGGAAAUUGAGAAAGUCUUCAGUCAAAGUCUUCAAACACAGAUAUGAACAAACACUCAACACAGUAAUGAGGAAAUGAAAGGGUUGAGGAAAUAGAACCAGUAGGUUGGUGAAGACAAUGAUUUGGUAGACCAGUUCCAACUGCUGUCUCAGUUGUACGUCUGGUUGGAGCGGCUGAGUAUUUAAACUCGAGGACACAUAGUCCCGGACACCCAGUCGCUGAGCACGCAGCUCAGGACACCCAGUCCUCACCGUAUUCUCCUUGAACUAAGGUCAUGCAGACCUCGUCCAAUCACUCGUGGUAAGUCUUUAGGCGACUUCCAAACCUUCACAGACUUGGUCACUCGGCGAUCCACAAUUCCUCUUGGAUGCUCUAGACCUUGACGCCUAACCGUCUGGAAGAAGCAUAGUCUUCAAAGGUAACAGGCGUCGGAUCCACGCAGGAUCAAUUUCUUCAGUGAUGCUCAAACACUUUGGGUUUGUAGGGGUUUGGUUUUGGGUUUUCCUCACUUGAUGAUUUUCGCUCAAAGUCCUCGGAGGAUGGGUUGCUCUCAAAUGACAAGUGUCAAGUUCUCUCGGAGCAGCCAACUAGCUAGUGGUUGUAGGGGGCGGCUAUUUAUAGCCUAGGGAGCAGCCCGACAUGAUAAGACAUAAAUGCCCUUCAAUGAUAUGACCGUUAGGUGGAUAAGAUAUUUUGGGACAGCUGGCGCGCAGCACAGCAACGGUCGGAAAUUUGACUCUCAAAUUCCUCAGGGCUAUCAUGUUCCUCAUUGUGUAGGUAAUUCGUACUGACGAAUUCCUAACUCCUCAGUUAGAACAGAUUCAUUAGUGACCAGAAGAACUUUGUCUCUGUCACUGGAGAAAGUGACUGAACUGUAUGAGAUUUCCAAAGGCUUCACUCGAAGGGAUUGGUAGGUGUAGGAUUUUGAGUUGAGCAUCACAUGGAAAUUUUUCCUUAGUAUUUCCUCGACCCCCUUUAACAGUACGGUGUUUCCUGUGACUCAAGAAGGAGAAAAAGAAACUUCGAAAACAAAAGUCUUCACGCUUCAUGUUCCACAAAUGAAUACCAAGUCUUCAAGGUCACACCAAUUUCUUCACUUUCAAAGUCUUCAGAAAGUCUUCAGAAUAUCAAAGUCUUCAGUUGAAGAACUUCAUUUUUAGGGGUCGAAUUUCUCUGUAAAUAUCAAACUCCUCAUAGACUUAUAGACCUGUGUACACUCACAAACGCAUUAGUCCCUUAACCUAUAAGUCUUCAAUACACCAAAAUCACUAAGGGGCACUAGAUGCACUUACAUCGACGCACAAUGAGAAACCACCCGGAGCCGCCGCCCCGACGUCCACUGUCCCCGACGAUGAAGAGAUCCGUGCAAACUGCAGUAUGCUGACUCUCCAAGGCGAUGCCUCAAAGAAGGAAGCGACGUAGCCGCCGUCAUUGCCCAUUUCAACCAACUGAAACUAGGGAUUUCUCCCGGAGAGUCGUGUAAUGGAGCUUCACGACAACGCCUUCAAGAAAGAGAACGACACCAUGGCGCCGCCGUUGCCGGCACCGACCCAAAGUCAGUGCAGGACUUUCGCUCGAAGCUCCUCCACACCUCCGAAUCCGAGCGGAUCCGAAGCACUGCACACACACAAUCUCCAUGGUCGACGUCCACCGGUUCCACCUCAUGGUGCAGCUGCCGUCGCACCUCACACGCCCAACCCGGCCGUCACGACGACCCGCACCGUCGCCGCCCCGGCCUCCUCGAGCAGAGCACCACCACCCCAAAGAACAGAGCAGCUGGAGACCUCCUCCUCGCUGGACCUCGCAUUGCCACGCUGUCCCCAAAACCGCUGCAUGCCGCCGACCACCAAAGGUUGGAGCAGCCGGAACUCCUCCACGGCAGUCCCCCGCAAGGCCGACACCCGGGGCAGCCUCCGCGCCGCCGCCCUGCCAUCCACAUGGCCAGGAGCAACGCGCCCCCAAACAGAUCCGGGCACAAGGGCCCCGGAAUCACCGCCCACAGCACACUGCAGCCACCACCGGACCACCAUCCACCGGACCACCGGACCACAACAAAAUCUAUUUUGAAGUUUCUAGUGUGCACAAAAAAUAUUAAUGAUUUCUAGGCUUGGCACUCGGACAACAAGGGUCGUUUCACGGUUAGCUCAGCAUACAAGUUCAUGAUAACAACUAAGAUUCAGAGGGAGAACUGGUUGGAAGGUCGAAGUGAUUCAUCCAGUGGGGCGUGGGAAGAAAAAUCUUGGACUUCACUUUGGAAUUUGUCAGUCCCUUCAAAGGUAAAUGUGACGUCUGGAUAAUCAUGCUACAGUAAUCUCAUGUUAAUGGUGCCACGUCACCUCUGUCACUGUAGUUAAUCUCGGGUUAAUUCGAAACUGCUUCAAAAUUCAAACUCAAAUUAAUGUCAACAAUAAAAGUUUUCAAAAAUUGAAACAAAAAUGUUCGGUGGGUGCCGGGUAUUACAAGGGUAAUUAUAAUAAAGCAAACACAUUUUUGUAUAAUGCCUAAAUGAUUUAAAAUGAAAUAAAACAGAAAAGAAAAUAAAUAAAAGAAAAGAAAUUACAAAAAAAAGGAGAAAGCCCCCCCGGCCCCUUGGGCUUCAGCCCACCAGGCGGCCCGGCUGGUCACGCACCCAGCCAGCCCAGCUCCCUCCCCCGGCCCGCCGAACCCCUACAACCCCCUGGGGCGACCGGACCCUAACCCCCACGCGCCCCACUCCCCCACUCCCUCAUCUCUCCCUCUCCCCCCCGAUCCAGAUCGGAUCGGGGCUCANNNNNNNNNNNNNNNNNNNNNNNNNNNNNNNNNNNNNNNNNNNNNNNNNNNNNNNNNNNNNNNNNNNNNNNNNNNNNNNNNNNNNNNNNNNNNNNNNNNNNNNNNNNNNNNNNNNNNNNNNNNNNNNNNNNNNNNNNNNNNNNNNNNNNNNNNNNNNNNNNNNNNNNNNNNNNNNNNNNNNNNNNNNNNNNNNNNNNNNNNNNNNNNNNNNNNNNNNNNNNNNNNNNNNNNNNNNNNNNNNNNNNNNNNNNNNNNNNNNNNNNNNNNNNNNNNNNNNNNNNNNNNNNNNNNNNNNNNNNNNNNNNNNNNNNNNNNNNNNNNNNNCCGCCUGGACCUCGCCGGGGCUACCACGCUGGCCUGCCUCCUCGACUCAUCCUCGCCGGACCUCCCCGCGCCUCGUCGCCCAUCUUCGUCCUCCUCCACGAACGGAGCUCCUCCGCCUCGUCGCGCCUCGCCGACUCCACCCCACCGGCCUGCCUCCUCGACGCCGACGACGUCCCCGUUCCCCCCUCGACCCACGCUGCCACGGUCCCUACACACCCCCUGUGAGGCCCCCUCCUCCUCUCUUCCCCGCAUGCGCCCGCACCGGCCGCGCUCACCGCGGCCACCCGGCGNNNNNNNNNNNNNNNNNNNNNNNNNNNNNNNNNNNNNNNNNNNNNNNNNNNNNNNNNNNNNNNNNNNNNNNNNNNNNNNNNNNNNNNNNNNNNNNNNNNNNNNNNNNNNNNNNNNNNNNNNNNNNNNNNNNNNNNNNNNNNNNNNNNNNNNNNNNNNGCGAGCCCCCGACGCGGCCUCGUCCCCUGCUGCUCGCCUGCAACUGUUGUCGCUGUUGCUUGACUUGCUGCUGCCUACUAUCGAGCGCCUCCCCCUGCCGGUCCGCGACCACCCCUCCGCCGCCUCCCCUGGCCUUGGCCGCCGGUGUGCGCCGUGUGCGUGCCCAGCGCCCCUCGGGCAUGCGCCCGUUCGGGCCAUGCCCAUUAGCCACGCGCCCAACGCGCGUUAGGCUAGAUGGGCCACUGCCAUACAGGCCCCACCCCACAGAACGUUUAAAAAAAUAAUAAAAAUAAAAAUAAAAACAAAAUUAGUUAAUUAAUUAAUUAAAGAAUUAAUUAACUUAAUUAAUUUUGAUUAAUUAAACUUAUCGGAUAAUUAAACUAAUUAAACUGUUAGUCAAUUAAUUAAUUACUCAAUGACCAGUGGGGCCCACCUCCUAAUUAAUACUAAUUAGGUUAAUUAAAUUGUUUAAUUAAAAUGUGUCACUGACUAGUGGGACCCACUGGUCAGGUUGACCAGUCAACCCCCGUUGACUGCUGACGUCAGCAUGACACCAUGCUGAUGUCGUAAAUCCAUUUUCGAAUUAAUUUAAAUAAUUAAUUAAAUUCCAGAAAUUAAUAAAACCUUUAGAAAAUCAUAUCUUUUAAUCCAUAAUUCGGAUUAAAUUAUUUUCAACAUGAAAGUUGUUCAGAAUGACGAGACGAAUCCGGAUACGCAACCCAUUCGUCCGCCACACACCCCUAGCAUACCGAACACGCAACUUUCCCCCUCCGGUUCAUUUGUCCGAAAACACGGAACACCGGGGAUACUUUCACGGAUGUUUCCCCCCCUCACCGGUAUCACCUCAUACCGCGUUAGAACACGUCUAGCUCUGCUUGUUGUCCUGUUAUGCACUUGCUUGCUAUGUAUUUACUAUUUCUUCCCCCUCUUCUCUCCGGUAGACCCUGUGACGAUGCUGAUGCCCCUGUGGUCGACUACGUCACCGACGAACCCUCCUUGUCUGAGAAACCAGGCAAGCCCCCCCCCCUUGAUCACCAGAUAUCGCCUAUUCUCCUCUAUACUGCUUGCAUUAGAGUAGUGUAGCAUGUUACUGCUUUCCAUUAAUCCUAUUCUGAUGCAUAGCCUGACAUUGUUGCUACAUCUGUUCAUACCUUACCUGCAAUCCUAAAUACUUAGUAUAGGAUGCUAGUUUAUCAUCAUUGGCCCUACAUUCCUAUCAGUCUGCCUUGCUAUACUAUUGGGCCGUGAUCACUCGGGAGGUGAUCACGGGUAUAUACUAUACAUACAUACAUACUAUACAGAUGGUGACUAAAGUCGGGUCAGCUCGAUGAGUACCCGCAAGUGAUUCUGAUGAGGGGGCUAAAAGGACAGGUGGUACCAUCCCGGUAGUGGUGGGCCUGGGUUCCCGACGGCCCCCGACUGUUACUUUGUGGCGGAGCGACAGGGCAGGUUGAGAUCACCUAGGAGACAGGUGGGCCUGGCCCUGUUCGGCAUUCGCGGAUACUUAACACGCUUAACGAGAUCUUGGUAUUUGAUCUGAGUCUGGCUACUGGCCUAUACGCACUAACCAACUACGCGGGAAAGAUAUGGGCACUCGACGUCGUGGUAUCAACCGAAGCCUUCUAGACGUCAGCGACUGAGCUAAGCGCGCCGGAUUGGAACGUAAGCCUGCUCUUGUAUUAAGGGGGCUAGUUCUGCUUUUGGCCGCCCACGCAACGUGCAGGUGUGCUAUGGGCGAUGGGCCCAGACCCCUGCGCCAUAGGAGUUAGACCGGCGUGCUGACCUCUCUGUUAGGUCUAGGUGGGGCUGCGACGUGUUGAUCUUCCGAGGCCGGGCAUGACCCAGGAAAGUGUGUCCGGCCAAAUGGGAUCGAGCGUGUUGGGUUAUGUGGUGCACCCCUGCAGGGAAGUUAAUCUAUUCGAAUAGCCAUGAUCUUCGGUAACAGGACGACUUGGAGUUGUACCUUGACCUUAUGACAACUAGAAUCAGAUACUAAAUAAAACAGACCCUUCCAAGUGCCAGAUACAACCCGGUGAUCGCUCUCUAACAGGGCGACGAGGAGAGGAUCGCCGGGUAGGAUUAUGCUAUGCGAUGCUACUUAGAGGACUUCAGUCUACUCUCUUCUACAUGCGGCAAGACAGAGGCUGCCAGAAGCGUAGUCUUCGAUAGGACUAGCUAUCCCCCUCUUAUUCUGGCAUUCUGCAGUUCAGUCCACUGAUAUGGCCUCCUUACACAUAUACCCAUGCAUAUGUAGUGUAGUUCCUUGCUUGCGAGUACUUUGGAUGAGUACUCACGGUUGCUUUCUCCCCCCUUUUCCCCCUUUCCUUUCUUUCUGGUUGUCGCAACCAGAUGCUGGAGUCCAGGAGCCAGACGCCACCGU